rnacentral:lncRNA from 1 species
CCACUACUAGUUGGGGUUGGCGCAGGACAGGAAAUAUUGAUUCUAUUUGGCUAAGUUGGUCAGCUUCACAGAAAGGAGAGGUCGAGUGAGGUGUGCAAGGAAGAGUCUAAAGUCAGCUCAAACUCCAAGGUAGCCGCCUAAUUCAGUAUCAAGUAAUAAGGGUUAAGGCAAAAACCGAUUCUUCAUCAGAGCUGGUUUGCAACGAGAGAAUCCGCCGUUAAGUUGUAAGUAUCCCGCUCGCUAACAGGAGCUCGAUUGGCGCUUGAAAGAUGAAACAAACGGAGAAACCUAUACCUUGUGCUCGAAGGAGAAAAUGGAAUCUAUCUAUGUGCAUCAGCUUACAAGUGUAGUUCAUUCUGUCUGUGCAUCAGCUUAAGUGGUAACUGCUUCUUUUCCUUCCUAAAGUCCAGUGGAGCAGUAGCUGUUUCAUCAGUUGUUUUCCUUGGCGAUAAUGGAGCGGAGAGUUCUCGUCUUUGAACCUCUGUUUUCACUAUGCUAAUGUCACUCUCUGUGAUAUAAUGAAGGUACUUUGAAAGGUAGUUUCAAUACAUUUAGCCGUAUAUAGUGAUCCUUACUUGCGAACUCCAUUUACCUAUAGUCUGGAACUCACGAAAUACCGUCUUGUAUAAUCUUUGCGCUGUUCCUAAGUGCGAUCAAUGAGAUUCUUUAGAGAACAACAAGUAGGGGGGCGAGAGAACUUGAUAGCAAGUACUUAUGGAGCGCUAAGUUAAUGAGUGGAAGUUGAAAGAUCAGUUACAGACUAAGGAUGGAUUGUAAGUGAGAGAAUCAGAGGCUCAAGUCAGUGGUUAGUGAUUCAAUCUCUUCUCUUUGGGUGCUCAAGUAACGUUAAGGGGAAGGUCAGAGGUCCGCUGCUGAAUGUACUGAUUUGAUUGACCUUAGCCAAAGGUGUCGCUGCUGAAUGUACUGAUUUGAUUGACCUUAGCCCAAGGUGUCUUAGUCAUAGAGAAUGGCAUGUUCCUGUUCUGUUUGAGUAUUCUCCUAUAUCCCAAAAGAAUGGAAGUUUGACUUGAAGUUGAAUCCGAGAUGUCACUCGCGUUAGCAAGUUAAGCGCGUAAGGGAGUUGUUGCCCUUAUAUUAACUCGAUCCACUGCUGAUUUGAAUGUGUAACUUGACUCUAAGCGUGCGGGAAGGGAGUUUUUGAGAGUUUACAGUACAAUUGAUAUGUGCGUUAGGGAAGAGAGUUCAGGUGGAUUACUUGACACUUCCUAUUUCGGUUCAGAAAGAAGAGUUUCGAGGCUACGAAGCAACUGAAUCCGAGUAUAAAGCUGGUCCAGGUUCAGGAAAUUGAUCUUAAUCAGGUAAGUAAGGAGCAAUCCCCGUUCUUGUUUUCAUGCCCAUGUAGCAGUUAGGGUCAGAAAAGAAUCAAGCUCAGGGUUGGCCAAAGACCUUGUCUAUACACUCUAGUAGCUGCGGCGGGGAGAAGGAUUAUCAAACAACAUAUGCCUCGCUUCCGCCUAUGCCUCUGCAAGUGCUUAGUCUGUUUCAUAUCCAGCUUCGCUUCUUCGGAUUCUAUUGCUUUUGUUGCCCAUGCAAGAACGUUACUGGAAUUUCCUCGACUUUCUGUGAGUAUAGUUUCCUUUCCUCUCCUUUUGUCGAUUUGAAUAACCGACUUAACUGUCAACUUGAAGUCAAUCUUACCUUACAAGCGCCAACCCUCUCUCGCCAAGGAGUGUAAGCACUGAUACCGACAAGAAGUUUCGUUUGAGCAAGAGUAGGAAGUAGUCCAUUAGGGAUAGGGAGCUAAGCCACGGAUUCUCUAUCUCCAUCUCUCAUUACAAAUUCUUCUAUCUCUAUAUGAUACUCUAUUCUCUUAUCUUUUGAAUGGAACCGCUCAUCGCCAACACUGUAAACUCGAACUGCAUUAGCGGAAGAAACACCUCUCUAUCAUGGCAUGGACCGACGUCAACAACUUUCAGAGGAUACGUCACUUUAAGAAGCACCCAACCAAAGAAACCAGACUGGAAAUUGAAGCUUCGCUUCCUGGCGCCCAAGAUACAGAACAGGAACUCGUAGACUACACAAUAACAGGAAUAGGCCGACCGACUUGGAGCUCCAGCACCGACGACAUAAGAACCUGCUUGCGGUACGCUCACUAACGCCGAUGAAGCAACAACGAAUUAAUGGAAUGUAUCAUCGAGCGCAGAAACGGAAAGAAGAUCUAAACCAACUCCCUAAGCACUGGUUUUGGUCAUACUAGGUAUACUUAGUCUUACUGGUUUCAUUCCCUUACUUACUAGUUCCAUUCCUAUACUAGUAUUACUUGGUUCAAUUCAGAACUGAGCUUCUUUCGACUUAAUCUAAGGGCCACUACUACUGUUAUUGCUCAUCCACCUCAGACUACUCAUACAGAUGCAACUGGGGAUUCAACCAUAACAGGAACAGGAGAAGGAUCGGCUCUGUUAACUAUUAACGGAAUUCGCCUCUCCUCUAAACUGUAUGCCUCUCGACUUCCUCUGUGAACUAAGGCUCCUCUCUUGCUCUUGAAACUAUCCCUCUGAUCUUGUAUUGCUCCUAUUUUAGUAACAUUAGCUACAUUGCCUAGGAUCAGAAAUUAGCCACAUGCCCAUUAGUUUCAUAAUUCCACUACUUGUUACUGAGUUAUUGUUUUAGUCCCAUUGGAAGCAUACUAGUUGAAGUCACAAGUCAUAACCUUACUUUUGAACUGGAACUGGAAUCUCAUCUACCACUACUAGACAAGCCGAACUAAAGGAAAGUACUAUUUCUACAUUUGCUAUCAGCCAAGUCAUUACUAAAGAGAAGGAGCUAACAAGCAGAGCGGACUCUAUACUAUGCCCGCCAAGCAACAGAGGUUCAGGAGUAGGCUCUCAACUCAACUAAGAGCCAAGUAACUACGCUUCCCUUGAUUCUUCUGUCAACUGCUACUUAUGAAACAGGACCACUACUAAUAGUUCUUGAAACAAGCUGCUGGCUCUGCUCUACCUAACUCAACAAGAAAAGAAACUACUGGAGCAAGAAAUCCGAAUGGAAUUAGUUAACUCAUAGUACUCGAGCAAUAAACCCUCUGUUACUAGGGUAGGGGUGGGCAAGGUCAGAAACAUAAUCAUUAGCCAGGUAUGAAAAGGCAGAGGAUCUAUAGAAGAGGUGCGAGCUUCUGUUCCACAAUUCAGAAUUACAGAUCCAUAUAACCUUUUAGUAGGGCUUGUCUCACAUGGAAAGAGACUAUCCCAUACCUAUAAACCUAUACCUAUUGCCAUAAUUCUCAGUAGCCUAAACUCCUGACGCGACACCCGAACACAGGGCUACUCUACUACACCUCCGGCUCAUCUAACUCUGGCUAAUCUACCUCUGUCAACAGCAAAUCUCUCAUCUCUGGACUACUCUCCUCUGGCUCAUCUAACUCAGGCUGGCUCGAAGAACUCUCCCUCUCCUCAUUAUGAUAUAUUAUAAGAGAAUAGAAUAUCAUUGGCACUGAUUCAAUAAUAGGAAAAGAUCUAAGCACUGAGGUGCUAAGAGCCUCUCUGAUCUGAUCCCCACUAAACUGACCUUCCCCAGCGCACCAGUACUUGGUAGACUUUCUUCGCCCGUAAAGAUGUUAGGCUAACAGGGCAGAACAACUGACUCACAUCUUAAGGAGUUAUAAUACCUUACUUCCCUAGCUCUAGCUCUAGACCUAUCCUAUCGUACCCGCCUUUCGUGCUUGGGGUUGGACUCAAAUACUUGACUUGAAACUCACUCUUACGUAAGCUGAAGACAGGACUCGGUAAUAACCUUUGGACUUGUCUUUUCCCUAUGCCUCUGUCUCUUAUACGUAUACCUCUGGCUCAUAUAGUAAGUACUGGUAUGGCUCAUAUUGUAAGUACAGGUACUCUAUAGCAGUUAUGAAAGCUGGAUCCUAAGUAGAAGAGUCAGCUUUAUCAGAUCUUUCUUAUGAUCUAGCAUCUUCGCUCGGAGACAAAACCACACCUGAUUCUCUUGUCGAUGAAACUCGAACGUAGCUUGCAGAACCAAUUUCAACUUACACUCGAACAGCAUUAGCUUCAGCAGUUGAUCUAAAGUAAACAAAUCCAGAAUUUCCUCCUUCCUGCCCAAGUAUAUAAGUAAAUAAUAUUACCGGACUCAACUUUCUUCUUGAAACUUCUUCUUACGUUGUGCCAAAGCAUUCAAAAAGUGAACAAGACUUUCGCUUACCGCUUACGACUUAGCUUCUGAUUCUAUAUUGACCUACUUACAUAUACUAGAAAUCUAAAUCAACUCAAAUUAACCAUAAGUGGGACUGUACCUGGCAAUACUUAACGCUGAAGCUUAAAACAGUCAUCUUUGAGCGCCAAGUCAAACAGUACAACAUUCUAUUUCUUAUCGAGCACAUGGUCCUGGACCCGGACUACAGUCCUUGGAAUGGAUUUACCCCCCUAAUAUUUCUUAUUCCCUUGCUGGUUCUAUUGCGCUUACAUAGUUUACAGAAAACAGGACUUGCAACAAGAAUUAAGGACGCUGCUUUAAGAAAAGAAUUCAUGAAACAAUAUAUUUAUAUAUAUGUCCAACCUUACCCGCUCUAUACGAUAUACUAGAACGAUAGGCGAGUGCUCAGGCUCAGUAAACCAUUACUUUAAUCCUCGCGUUCCUAUUCCUAAUGUAAAAGAUAGUAACAAAAAAGCACCUAUUCUUCUUUCUGCAGGCUCCUGUUAGCGCCGAGCCACCAACCAAAUACUGAUUCCACUCCAUCACUUGAAGAAUCACUUAAGGGGGUGGAACUGCCGGUUUCAUUUUCUCAUCUCUCUCGUAUUACCCGGUUAUAUACGCUACGAGCUCUUCUCUCUACCCUGACUUGCGCCUGGGCAUAUCACUUUGUAAGGUGCGGACCUCUUCUUGAAGUUCAGAAUUGAGUGUGAGUUGAAAGAGCAGAAAAAGAAGAAUGAGCCAGAGGGGAGGUCUACCGAAUUUAGGAGACGCACACUAGUGGCAGUGAGCUUACAAGUCGUCUUUCUGGUGAGGAGCGGUAGGGCGCUAAGCAAGAAAGAUGGAAUUAAGUAGAGGAAAGAAACUACCGGCUCUCUGCGCUCGAGUGUUGGCAAUCCGGUCCUGGGACUCUCAAAUGAAUAUCUAUUCUUUCAGGGUUUGAUCUCGUUGACAACUGAACUUAGGCUCUAAGGGGAACUCGCUACCCAUCUCUGUGGUUACCAAUAUUUCUAUAACAGGUGCAGUUGACAAGCGCACUGCUUAUUUAGCAUCUGGACAUUAUUCUCUCGUUUCCCUUCUUCGCACUCAAGGAUAUGUAUGAGUAAUCAGUACACCGAGUAAGUUAGUAUUGACUGACCUAGAAACUCACUUCUAAACUCAUCAUUCACUUCUUUAUAUAAAGUAAGAUAGGAUAAGACACGACCUAAACUUGAAGUUCAGAAUUCUAUUGAAUUGACUGGCGGCAGGGCCAAGCAACUACAAACGACCAAGCGUAGUAUAGACAAGUAGACAACCAACCACGAAGCUACCCCAAAACAAGGGUUUCUUAAGCCAAGCAACGACUAAACAAGCAACGAAUAGACAAGUAACUACAAAUAGGCAAGCAGACAAACAGUGAACUAGGUCAAUUCUUCCGAAGUAUACCUAUCACUACUCCUAUUACCAAUUCUCUGAUAUGACUUAACUGACCUAUUCUUCCCUAUAACCAGAAACCUGCAUUUACUACUUAUUCACUGGACUACUACUUUGCCUCACUUUAGAACUGGAACUGACCUAUCACUUGAAUUUCCUAACACUGGUCCGGAUCCUGUAGUAGUUAAGGGAUGAGGCUUGCUCCUCUGCGCUUCUGUUUCUUCUGCGGAAAGCACUGUUAGCGCCAAGUCCUGUAUUGUAGGGAAUGCUCUUUACUGUGUCGGUAAGGUUUCAAGGGUCAAUAAACUUGUCGUAGCGAACGUUCUUGUCUAGUUAAUCUCUAUCCACUAGAUCCACUAUAAUAGGGUAAUAAGUCUAGGUAUAGUCUCAAGAGAGAGUUUAAGGUGUUUGGCUAAAGUUCCAGUGAUAAAGAGAGAAAGACACAAAUAAGGUAUACCUCAUGAAGUUGAAAUUCAGAACUGUUGCUUUAAGGUAAAGGUUAUACAAGGGUCUAUGUUCUUAGGCGAAAAUGAAUUUAUACAACCAAUAGGGGGUAAGAUAGAGAGGCAGUAAAGCUGGGCUCCUCAAUUCAUUCUGAUUUUAUAUAUAUGAGAUAGGCCUUAGGGCUCCUCAAUUCAUUCUGAUUUUAUAUGAGAUAGGCCUUAUAGAUAUUAUUUGAUUCCUUUGCGCAACACAAGACGAACAAGCUUAGGUGCUAAGAGAAUAGGUUGGUACUAAGACUCUAUAGGCAGACGUAGUUGCGAGUAGCUUGGCCUCAGUACUCUAGUUACAAAUCUCUACGUAGCUUGGCUGUCUCUUUGCUCAUUGAACUGUCAACAACUCUCCCUGAUGCUGUCUCUUUGCUCAUUGAACUGUCAACAACUCUCCCUGAUGCCACUAAGUCUGGGUCUUGACUUUAACUGUAUGAAGAAUUAAGGGAAUCCUUAUUUACCCUAUAUUGCCUACAGGGCAGUGUUGCUUGUCUGGUUUCCCCAGUGAAUCUCAUCUACCUUUUCUCUUCUACCUUAGUGAAUCUCAUCUACCUUUUCUCUUCUACCUUCUUUAUCUAAGGCAACUCUACUUCUCCUCUUGCUCCAAUUCAUUUAACCCUUAAGAAUGGUUCACGGAUUCUUCUCUUGGAGACUUCACUCGCACUCAAUCAUUUGAAUCUUAUCUUUCGUGGUCAACUCGCCUUGUUUCAUUCUAAUUGUAAACUUCCCUAAGCAAGACUCUAUCACUUGCACCCUUGGUACUACUGAAUUGGAAUCUAGCUCUAGCUGCGCCCGCCCUUGCUCUAAUCCCUAAGGUUAGUUCUACCUAUUCUUCUCUAUAGGAUUCAAGUAAAGCAUCCAAACAAUACUUUCAAACAAUAACAGGACUACCGGGCAAUGAAAUAAGUGUCAUCCACUAUUGGCCUGGCCUCUACUUCGAACUGGAUUGAAAUCAAGAAAGUAGAGCAAUAGGCAGACUGCUCGAGGAAGAAAUCCAUCCAAUGUUGCUAAUGUUGCUAGGGGAAUCAAACUACUGUUGCUAAGGUUAGCUAAGGUUAUAUCCCUUAUAUGACCAGAAAAGCCGCACCUUCUCUUUUUCUUCCCUAAACGAGCAUCUUCUCUAGCCUAAGCUUCCUAUUACUUUCAAAUUCAUUGAAUCCUUCGUAUCGAGCACUUCCUGUACUUGGUACCUAACCCAGUCAAUAUACUGCUUCCUUUGCCUCAACUUACAAUAAGGGCCUCUCUUUAUUGGGGUGACUUCAAUUGCCCAACUAUUCACUAUUGAAAGAAGUAUUUGUUUACAGGGGUAUACAUAUAAGAAUUCCAUAGGUAUACAGAUAAGAAUAUAAGGUAUGGGAUCCGAUCUCUUAAUUACUAUAGGACUAUAGGAGUUUAUGAUCUACCUGUGGCUUCAGAAGGGCAGGGGACAGGGUAAGUUCCAUUGGUAAAGCGGGAAACCAACCACUGCAUACCUCUUAGAUUGGAUGAAGCCUAUGAAUGAAACUAGAUGAUUGCCCUAGCUCGGUCAAGGGUUGCAAGCGCUAAGUGAUCUAAGUUGUCAGAGGAUGAAGGCGAAAGACUAAGUGCAGCAUAAAGUAAGUCAACUGCUGAAGUAAAGUAGACAGCUCCAGUUAGAGUUUCAUCCGUUGUAGGUAGUAGCGACCUGGCCAGUUCCUGUGAGAAAGUAGGGUUCAGGUUACAAGUGCUUUGUUCCGGCCUUUCAUCACUUACGGAGUUUAGAAGUGAGUUUACUUCGAGUGUUGUUGGCUAUAAGUGUCUUUCUAUUCGAGUGGAAGUUUCAGUAGAAUUUGACUGACACACAUACACAUAUAUAGAUCGGAAAGUGUUUCUUUGUAACCAAAGGUAUAGGUAAGGUAGCUUUAAGAUAAGAUCCAAGUCGUCGUCCAAUAGUAUCGGGAAGGAACGGAAAGGGGACGAGAGAGAAAGAGGAAUCAGUGUCCGGAUGCACUAGCUAUGUAGUAUUAGGGCCUUUGAUAGGAGGUCGGCUAGGGCUACACUUAAAUACCCGAGGUGUGGACGCAAGGAAGAUAGUGUUAGUUCGGGUCGGGGCGGAGUCCUGUGCCCAACAUUAAUGCCAUCAAGAUAUUAGGCAAAAAGCAUUAUUUGAAAGAAGUAGAUGUUUUUCAUGUGAUUGGGCUAGGAAGAGAGAAAACAAACCAGCUUUCAAUUGCCAAUGUUACUAAUUUCAUAGCUAAGACAAUGGAGUAUAUUUAUUAAUGAAACUCAAAAUAGGGAUUCCACCCGGUAUUAAACAACAACUGGAUCGGAUACCCGGUAUUAAACAACAACUGGAUCGGAUACUGAUGAACUUCCCGCUGCAAAGCCAGCAAGACACUUGGCCAAGCUUAGGAUAGACAAGCAAUGGCAAAUGAAUAGCGGCAGUAGACCCGUGUCGCGCAGGAGUUGUCUCUUUCUUUCCUUCCCAAAAAGUAUUUCUUUCUUUCUUUCUCUUCUAGAAAUGAAGGAGGGUUUGCUGAUGGUUUAUCUUCUGUUUCUUGAUUGUAACUAAAUGAUAUGAUUUUCUCAGACAAAGGAAGCGGAUGGGCCAAACGUAGGGGUCGCACCCACCAUGGGCUUUGAGCUAUAAAUCCCGGAUGUUUCCCCCAAUGAAGAUAAUGUUAUGGAAUUGCAGAGGAGCAGCGAAUGAUGAAUUCAAUCGUACUUAACGAGAGCUUUUAGGAUGCAUGAUCCAGCAGUACUUGUUUUAAUGGAGACCCGAGAUGCAAUUGUUGCAAUAAAUCCCUUUUUCAAACUCAAGUAUAAGCCCAAGGUUUUAUGGUGGUAAGACAUCGUCAAUGUAGAGAUCUUAGCUUCUAACAGCAAUAAAGCCAUUGUUAACAUAAAGUAUAAACAAGAUUAGUUAUUCACUGCUAUAUAUGCGAAUACUCGUUCCAAGGAAGAACAAAUUGAAUCCAAAAACCAAAGCAAGCUCUUGAGCGAGAAACAUACCUUGGGAGCUUUCUUCGACCCCGGCAAUCUAAGUGAGGCGAUGCUUUUCCUUUGAAGUAGCGGACCUGGGCCCAUCCAUAGGUGCGACUGAACUAUACGAUCAGGCGUAUGCUGAUUACAUAACAUCUAAAUAAUAUGAUUAUGAUAGAAAGCCUUAAGUGAAUGAUUAUGAUAGAAAGCCUUAAGUGAGUUUGCCUUGCCGUUUUCAUACGUUCAUUAGUAGGAGCCAUAAGCUUAGACCUGUGAAGAGGAGACCUGACUUAAGUAUAGCCCCUAACAACUUGAAACAAUGUACCGUAGUUUGAGCAAUCAUAUAACUUCUCACUUAAAGUAACUACUAAUGACCGCCAAGGAACUAGGCAAGUAACUACUAAACAAGCAGACAAGAAACUAUGCCAUGGUUUAUAGGCUUGAAAUGAAUGAUUUCGCAUCGCCAAGACACUAGACAAGUAACUGCUAAAAAGGCUAAGAACCAAGCCCUCACGCCUUAACCUUUCUUUGAUACCAGAAUGAGGCUCCUAACUAGAAACUCGUUAAGUAACUUGCCCGUAACUCCACUCUCACAGCAGCUGACUUUCGAUUUUCUUCUUACUUGACCCGAACUACACUUGAAGGACCUGAACUACUUGUUUCGGACAGGACAGGUUCUCUCUCGGACAGGCGAACAAAGGACAGAGUCUUUCUUUGCCCCUACUAAAGGAUGGACAGAAGAAUUAGCCAGAGUUAGAUUAGCCUAAUGAAGUUAAGCGGAGGGCAUAAUUCCACAGCCCGGCAGAACAGUAACUCCUUUCUUCGUCUACCUGCCUCCGUUCAUUGGGCGUUCUGCUACAACUUAGUUUUCUUCUGUAUCUCGAGUUGGAUUCCAUAUUAUUAUUGUAGACCGGAGUCGAGGAUAACUAUUUCAUGUUAAUAGAUGUAGGGUACUGCUUUUUAGAUCAUCACCAACACCAGGAGUCGAUGAAUGAGAGAAGGGAGUGGUAGUUUGGUAGUUAGGAGCGACAUAGUGCAAGAGGGGCUUUCAAGUUCUAAAUUCACUAAUUAUCUUAUUGAUUGAUUUCAUUAUGGAAUGAUUUGACUUAUACCCGGUUAAGAGAGAUAUUGCAUUCCUUCGUGUUUUCUAUGAUAGAUAGCUGCCCUGUACAAGUCCCUUCUUCGACCAUCAAGAUGUUAGGAAUCAAUUAACAAUUCAUUGAACCCUGCUGGCAUACCACACAGGACUGGUUCAGAUCCUUUCCGGAGUUAACCUGUGUUUGGACACCCAACCUAUCCUUUCAGGUAGAAGUUCUGAAUUCCAUCUAUCUCUUGCACAGAGCACCUGGUACAAAACAAGAGGACUCUGUGCUAAGGAAAGUUUACAGUGUUUGACGGUUUAGAAUCCGUUCGAAAGUGUUGGUUCGGGUGUUGCACUUACAUAUUAGUAAUCAAGGAGAGUUAUUGUGCUUGUCAAAAGUCAAUGAAAGUUGAGUUAACUCUCGAAUCUCAUGCCCACAUAGCGGUUAAGUAUCCAUCAAGUGAGCGAGAAAGAAGCUACGUAUUUCUUUAAGAGCAAAUUCUUAAUAGGUGUUCAAUGCCGUAGAACAGCCUUUCGGGGUCAGGGUAUUAACUUGUCCGCGUGUUUGUUCCCGGAAAGUCAAAGAAAGAUGAGAAGAUGGAAUUAAGGUGAACUCCCGUUAGCCCGUGCUUUUAGAAUUGAUGAGGCACUGCUAUCCCCGCUUUAAGAACUCAGCUAGGCUGCUUCACGCUAUACAUAGGCAGCUUCACGCUAUACUAUAGUACUUAUUUCAUUGCCCUAGUUUGUUUCACGCACAACUCAUACAAGUUAUCAAAUCCUUUUGUUUGCCAUAAGAGUUUAGGUUUAGGUAGGGUAUUCCAGUGGAGAGUCUUGAUCAGGAUCAGCUCAUUCCAGUAGGCUGGCAGUAGUUCAUCGCCGAUAUAAGCUCUGCAUCGGUCAAGUAUCAAGUUAGCAAUCUCUAAAUAAGGUGCUUCAAGCCUCCAAAUAAGGUGCUUCAAGCCUAAAGUCAAAAGGAGGAAAGGAUGGUGCACAAGACAUAGAAUCACGUAAAACACUGUUGACUCAAGAAACAAGCAAGUUAGCUGCUGCAAGCAAGCGGUGCGGUUCAUCAAGUCUAGUUUCAGGUCGGAAUCAAGAUAUUAAGCAGUAGGGCGAGCGAGUGUUGUUUCUGUUCUCAAGGAGGAAAGUGGAAUUCUUUCAACAAUCGAAUCAGCAGUGCAAUUCUUUUGAGUUAGAUGAGCCGACCUCCCUACUUCUACUAAUCAGAAUGAAACCCGUGAGUCAAAGAAUGAAAGUGAGCCUCUCCUCUGCCUAUUAAACUAAACUACUAAAUUAGUAACAUUAGCAACAUUGCCUUAGCUACAUUGCCUUAGCUACAUUGCCUAUAAGUAGCUCCUAUUCCUUUUUACAGGGGAGCAAUUAGAUCUGUUCCAGUUUUCGGCCCUUAAUUACUGGUUGCGUGUCAGUGUACGGGUGUCUUUAGAUCAAUAUCUAUACCAUAUGCAAAAUCAACGAAAGGUUCCAUUAAUGAUGAAGCAUUAUUAAGUUAAGUCAUGCUAGGCCUAGACUAAGUGGCAUCAGGGAGAGUUGUUGACCUGACCACAAGAGAUUCAAUAAAUUCUUUAACUACAAGUAGUUCCAUUAUUGUUGAUAGUGUAGCCGGUUCAGAACUUCAAUAAGAGGUUGGCAAAGGAACUUCUAAUAGAGUUAUUGAAACAUAGCUCGGUGCAAGACAAGUUCCCCUGGGAAAAAAGGCAUCAAGGGCGAGAGCUCCUGCCGCUAGUGCCACUUAUAUAUCUGCUCUAUCUGUUCUCUCCUCUGAUCUUGCUAAUCUACCUCUGUAAACUCCCAAUCUAUCUUCUCUGUAAACAAGGGAUUCCACCACUUUUCCUUGGCUCUGUAAACAAAUACAGAUGCAACUGAACCACUACUUGGACUAGACUUUAGCUAACACCCGAACCACCCCUGUACUCUUUCUUUACCACCUCUCCUCUGCCUAUUGGCUAGACUUAUAGACUUGGUUGCUUGGUUGCUCUUUCUACAAAUAAGGAAUUUCUAAUUGAAUGCGAAACUACGGGAUCUGAUCUAACUGCUUCCCUAAGGCUUAUCAACUAACUGCUUCCCUUUCUUCUUUACCGCCUGAACCUUACUUUCUAACAAGAACAGGGGAUGCAACAACAAAAGAAGGGGAGUCAACUUUGGAUAAGACUUGCUAGCACUACUUUAAGUCUGAGCAGCGGAUCUAGUUGAAGUCUUGUUGUUGUUNNNNNNNNNNNNNNNNNNNNNNNNNNNNNNNNNNNNNNNNNNNNNNNNNNNNNNNNNNNNNNNNNNNNNNNNNNNNNNNNNNNNNNNNNNNNNNNNNNNNNNNNNNNNNNNNNNNNNNNNNNNNNNNNNNNNNNNNNNNNNNNNNNNNNNNNNNNNNNNNNNNNNNNNNNNNNNNNNNNNNNNNNNNNNNNNNNNNNNNNNNNNNNNNNNNNNNNNNNNNNNNNNNNNNNNNNNNNNNNNNNNNNNNNNNNNNNNNNNNNNNNNNNNNNNNNNNNNNNNNNNNNNNNNNNNNNNNNNNNNNNNNNNNNNNNNNNNNNNNNNNNNNNNNNNNNNNNNNNNNNNNNNNNNNNNNNNNNNNNNNNNNNNNNNNNNNNNNNNNNNNNNNNNNNNNNNNNNNNNNNNNNNNNNNNNNNNNNNNNNNNNNNNNNNNNNNNNNNNNNNNNNNNNNNNNNNNNNNNNNNNNNNNNNNNNNNNNNNNNNNNNNNNNNNNNNNNNNNNNNNNNNNNNNNNNNNNNNNNNNNNNNNNNNNNNNNNNNNNNNNNNNNNNNNNNNNNNNNNNNNNNNNNNNNNNNNNNNNNNNNNNNNNNNNNNNNNNNNNNNNNNNNNNNNNNNNNNNNNNNNNNNNNNNNNNNNNNNNNNNNNNNNNNNNNNNNNNNNNNNNNNNNNNNNNNNNNNNNNNNACACUCGAACAGUACCACCUGGAAGCCUACUUUAAGCGAGUAGCGGUAGGAUGAAACAAGAGCAUAAGCAUUUGAUGUUGGAUUACCUACUACGGGUUCUUUGACUACUCGGGUUAGUUACUGUUAGGUUUAGUUCGGGUUAUGCCCUAUAACGACAUGGCCAAAAGUCAGUCAUGUUAACCACUACGUAAUACUAUAAGAAUAAGAAAAACCCUAGUAAACAAGGCUCUAAAGCAAGGGUCGAUUACAUUGAGUUGAAGCUCAGAAGCAAGAAAGCAAGUAAGCGGUUUCGGGCUUAGAGCUAUGAGUUAUAGCCUUAUAAGUGGUAGGCUUUCAGCACCUCUGUUUUGAGCUGCAGUCCAAACCAACCUCGGUAACACUUGUUUGAUUCUGAGUUUCGAAUAGAAGCUAAUUUAGGGAGAGAACAGCGCUACCGCGCAACGAGUUGCUUGGUGGCUUUCAGCACCUUAUUCUAAGAUAGAGUAUUGGUUUCGGUGGAGUAAUUCCGUAUUCUUAUAUUGAGUAUAGUAGUAGCUUGGUGACUCAAAGAAAAGGUCGAUUACAUUGAGCUCGAGCUAAGACCUUAAGGCAGUAGUUGACAUUCUAUCGUAGUUCCCCCGCUAGGCAUACUAAAGCUAUCAAUACAGAAUGAAAGUACUCAGUUGAAGCAUCAAAGGUGAUAUCAAGUUUUCAAGGUAUAGUCCAGAUAUGAGUUACAGGCGGAUAGAAGAUAUAGUAAGACUAAGGUAGAGGAAGGAGCUUCGAGCCUAGUAGCGGUGUUUCUUCUUUUACUGUAGGGCGCUCUUGGUGGGUGAAAGGAAAGGAACGAAUAGUAGACUUAGUUUGAGGCCAGUAGUGCCAGCUUGAAAGCGUUGUCCAUUUCCAUUCGAUAUUCUAAGAGACAUUCUUGUAGUACCCCAGUCCAGUCUCGUUAGCAUUGGUUUCGGUCUUGUUAGUAGCUGUUCCAGGUCUAGGCUUAAGUGCUUGUGUUAAGCAAUGAUCAAUAUGACACUGGCAGCAAGGUUCUCAGUCAACUCUAUUCUUCUUUCUAUUCUUUAGCUCUAUUUUCUCUAUUCUUUAGUAUAUGACCGGGUCUCAAGUAUUCUUUCUAUUCUUUAGUAUAGGACUGGGUCUCAAGUCUCAGUAGUUCAAUGAUUAUUAUAAGAUGGAUUUCAGAUAUAUUACAUAAGAUAGAUUUCAGAUAUAUGACAUUUCAAAUAGGAUUGUUGCCAGCCUCUGUAGUCAGUUUCGGCAGCCAAUAAGGAGGGGCAAUAAAAGAAAAGAAAAGGUCGAAAGCCAAGUUGAAAGAGCUGGUAAGGAAUCAGAGCCCAAAGUAUUAGUAGAGUAGUCCGACCCUAAAGUCUCUCCCCUGCUCCUAAGGUAUAUAAGUAAUGCAAUAAAGCAACUAGUAUUCUCAUAAGUAAGUCAAAGGACUAAGUAAGGCAAGGUUCAAUAAGUCAAAGGACUAAGUAAGGCAAGGUUCAAGUCCAGCAUCGGUAGCUGCUUCAUCUAUUUCAACUAAGUCUGGGCAUGAGGCUUUCUUUCCGGACUUUGAAUAUACUUCUUCUCUGGCUCUUCUCACUAUCCCUAGCUACUUUCCUAGACAAUUGAACUACACUUUCUGAACUCCCCUACUAGGCACAACUCAGUACUUAUAGUAUUGUCUAGUAGUUGCGUGUGUCUGCCCUUAAUUAAUGCUGUCCUGUUGACUCGGCCCGGCCUCUCUUUCUUACUUUACUGCUUCCAAAGAUUCAAUUAGGUCCGCUCAUUCUAUUCUAUAUACGACUGAUCUUGAAACGACUUCUGUUGCUUCUGCUGAUACGGACUUAUUAGUGGAAUUCUUAUAAGAAAGAUCCCUAUUGAGAACUGCUACUGGGUUGGGUUAAUGACCUUACCUGGCUCAGGCUUCUUUACUUUACUUGAUGAUCUGACCUAAACACCUUACUGGAACAACACUUGAAACAAAUCACUCCACUCGCCAAGUCACUACGCUUUCUAAUCUCAAGUAAGCAUCAAACUAUUUGCUAUCAGCCAAGGAACGGAUAGACAAGCAUAGAAACGAAAACCACUACUUUUGACAGGGCUCCUGACGCACAACUAACAACUAAGCUUGGCCCUUACUUGUUUUAGCUUAAAAACACUACUCCUUAAUAGAAUUCCGCCUGUCUCUAAGGUGCCCUACUUGCUUAUAAACUAAUACUAGUGCCAACAGUACCUCCACCUGGAAACUCGGAAUCAGACCAAGGCAAAUGAGAAUCCCACUAUGAUAUUCAUAAUUGGGCCACUAAUAACAAGAAGAAAAGAAAGCACUGUCCACCUAGAUGGAACUAGUACCUCGAUAGACUGGAUUUUGAAUCCAGGAACAGGGAAUCCAACCGGAAAUACAGGAGCUGAAAGCCUACAGCUAACAGGGCUUUAACUAACUACUAAUACGGCUUUUACUCGAAACUGGGGAAUUUCACCUAGGCUGAUAGAUCAAACACAUAAGUCAGAAUCAAACUACUAAUAAAAGGAAUCCAAUCCAGAAAAAGAAGAUUGAAAGAGCAACUUGACUUGGCUAAUCCUUGACUUGACUUUGAAUCUACCUCCGCUUGUCCAUUUUCUUAGGGGAUAUACGAUUGAAUCUCUGAUACCUCUGGCUCAUCAGUGCAAUUCUCAGGAUCCAAAUACAGAUCAGUUGACGGAAAUAACCCUCAUUGCUUUCUCGCUUCCUUGAUUCUUAAAACAGUCUUGUCUUAGAAGCAAGCAUUGGGCGGUCGUCAAUUCAAGAGACUAUAUGAAAUUCCACUGAUAAACCGGAGCAUGAAAUUGAAGGUCUAAGAAGAAAACCGGCUUGAAUUCCAAUUAUUAUCUUAUUUCAUCGUAUCUAGAAGCCGAAGCAAGAUCCGGUGAGGAAGCAGUGCCAAAGGAAGCAGUUAGAGCAGAUCCACCUAUUACUUGAGUUUCAAUCUGACUUAUGAGUUGAGAACACAGGGUAGGCGAGAAGCAACUGUACUAGAGCAAUAAAGAAUAAUGGAAUUGCAUUUGAAGCCUAUAAAACAGGGCAGACCUGACCACUUUCAGAAUUCCACCAGUAAGUCAAAGUCUAGGAAUGGGGGGGGCAAUAUUACUUACUAGCAGAACUCUAUUUCCAUUUCUUAUCGAGGUUGCUUGUCGGCUUGGUGGUUCAAGCAUAAAGGCGACUAUUGGAUUGAUUGGGGUUACGCUCCUUGUCAUAGAUUGAUUGGGGUUACGCUCCUUGUCAUAGAGAAUGGCUUGUUCCAGUUUCAUCCCCGUCAAAGUAGUAGUCCACGAGGAAUUAACUGAAUGCACGUUUCAAGUCAUAGGCAUGGUUGUUAAGGCCUUGUUGCGGCGGUAAUCUAAUAAGGCAUUAAAGGUGUGUUGGCGUGAGAGGGCUUGUUUAUAAGGCUUACACUCAUAUACCUAUAGCUAGUAAGAGGUCAAUAUCCCGCUCCUACUCGCCUGGCGGAUCUAAUACAUAUAUCUGAUUUCUGAAUUCGAUCUUUAAAGAACAAGAACAUUCCAAUUCACUCUAGGGCUCUGUGAACUCUGUUGGCAUACUACACUGGUUCAGAUCCCAACUGACUAUAUAGGCAACAAGAUACUUUUCCUACUCGCUGGAAGAUCUAAUCCAUAUAUCUUUCCUAUUUAUUAAUUCAUUCGUAUAUUAACUCUAUGGCUCAUCUCUGUGAACUCUGACUCCGAGCCUUACUUAUAAGCAGUUUAUUGCUCUAGUACUUCUUUUCAUUGAGUCAGUCUAUCGAACACCAAUAAUUGAUUAUCGAGAUUAUCGAGCGCCGGGUCAACUACCGGGUCAACUACCGAGCGCCGGGUCAACUACCGGGUCAACUACCGGGUCAACUACCAGGUGUUAAAGCCACUAACUCUAUAUCGGGUGUUGCAGUCGAAAGUAUCGAAUAGGUCACACCCAAACCAUGAACUCUUUCUCGCCUCUAAUUCAACUAGCUAUAGGGCAGUCAAGAAUGGAACGUUUUAUACCUUACUUCUGACUUGUUUCAUGAAAACCUCUCUGGCUUCAUUAAUACUUCUGUAGUCCUUUAGUUGAUCUUCUUUUGAGGCGGGCUAUCAUUACAGAAUUCUAACAUCUACAAUUCAAGUUUUCGGGGGCGCAGGAGAAUCUUUAGCUUAAAUAGAAGAUAUAGAUCCGGGUAACCAACCCCUAGUGCUCUUGCGUAAGAAUAUAACUUCUAUGGAUAGUACUCAAAAUGGAAAGUAGGAGACUCCGGAUAGGAAUAAGGGUAGUUGGAAUAAUAAUAGUAAGUCCGGGGGAUAUUAAUAAUAAGAUAAUAAUUGGAAGUCCGGGGAGUUGAGUUAGCUUUAGUUUCGUCUCUUUCUGUUCUAGUUUCAUCCGUAUGUAUUGGCAACGAGAUCUUCUUUAAGUCUGCAUAAGCAGUUUCAAGAUAUGAAACAUCAAGAUAUGGGGAAGGAACCUAAAGUGUUGUUCGGGAAAGAAAAAAGAGAAAGUUCAAGCAGGGCCUUUACAUUAAUUUGCAGGCAUCAUCCAAUCCUUCUCGAGUAUACUUUCUUUGCACUCAUAUUUAUGGUUUUCGAGCACCAGUUAUAGAAUGGAGUCAAGAUAAGGCUUAUUUACUUGCUUGAUCCCUUGCUUGGUCUCCGGACUCCCCACUUGAAGAACCAACAACUAAUACCGCCGGGAUGAAAGUCGAAGUAGCUAAGGCUUCUGUGCUGAUGAACCUAAUUCUGAUCCAACCCUAGGAAUGAAAAUAAUGAAUUUCCCAACCCGCCCAUAAAGGUAGAAAUGUUAUCCAGCAGCUCACUUACCUCUGACUUUAGCCUCUUCUUUACCUGCUCCUUCUGAAAGACAAUCAGGAGAAAAGAGAGUAGACUUUCCGCUUGCAGUACUAUGAGCUAAAGCCUUAAACGGGAGAAGACUAAUCUUCUAUACAAUGCCAGUGAAUGAACGGUAGUAGUCGCUUGGUUUACGACAGUUUAUCCACUAAAAGAGACAGCCUAGCACCGAAGCUUAACUCGCACACCAACAAAGAGAGACUAGACUAUGCUGAAUGAAGAAUGAAGUACAGAAAGGGGCUGUUGUAACCCAGAUUGAUCUAAGUUUUAGCUAUGGUCAACUAAUCAAAUGUGGAAUUUGCCAUUCAAUGAGUUUACCGCGACUCCAAAUAAGGAUUGAAAGCUCUUAUUUCUUGAGUGAGUUGGGCUAUCAAAUUAGGGCAAUAAGGCUUAACCGAGUCGUGUAGUGAUCCAGUCCAAGUCGUAAACUGCAAUUGAUUGUUCUGCUCUAGCUCAGUGUAAAUAGAGUUCCAUUUCUUUAUCUUGCUUUAAGAUCCGGACCAGUAGUAGAACCUAGUAAGAAAACCUAAGUCCUGCACAGAAGUGGGAAGGUUUAAUGUAGAGCUAAACUGUGAUAGUGCAGAAGAGGGUUUCCAACUUAUAAUAAUCCAGUUGCAUUCUGGAAUUCCUUAUUCGCAGUUGCUUGCCUUCAUGUGGUAUAUUUGAAUUACACUGAUUUUAGUGACAUUCAUUUGAGUUACAUUAAAUACAUAUUUGAGUCACAUGCCUAUUAGUUAUUGUUUUAGUAACAACUACUAAACAAGUCAAUUAGUGACAUCAGAUCUUUCUUGCAAAUUAGUAACAAUUAGGCUCCUCUCUCCUCCGGUAACACUUCGUUCUGAAUUGAGAGAAAGAGCAAACAAGCUACUACUGUUCCACUAGAGAUGAAACUCAAACUACACUUUCCUUCCUUCCCACGACAACUCAUUCCCUUAAGGCUUAGAAGCCAGUACUUGAUUCUUCCAUAAGAAUAGUAAGUAUAAGAAGAAUUCUACUAGUAAGUCUUUUUCUCUCGACAAAGAAUUCCGCUUGUGUUUAAGCAGGGUCAAAGGAAGCAGUUAGAGCAGUUGAAACAUAAUCCUGAGUUCUCAAGUAAGCUGCAAACGAAGGGAACUGAAAGAAGAGUUUGGGGCAGAAGAAUCCCGUUCGAGUUUUGAAUGCAAAGGCAAAAGGAUUUAAGUAAGUUGCAGCUGCAAGGAAAGUUGAGUACGAUUAUUGGCUUUAUGUAUACGAGAGAGGUUGGUUAUUGACCGAGUAAGAUGGGUUGACUGCCCCGAGCCCGAGAUCACGUUAGCACUUGUUUUGCGUAACUUAUGUGAGCGCUACUUCUAUCACUGAAAUGUUAGAUGCGCAAUUGAGUACCCUAUUCUCAUUUCGAAUCUAUCUAUAUGCGCUAUACAUCAUUGAACUUGCACAGAAGCUUUACUGUCUGGGCUCUCAUCUUUGCUCAGCCCCUUACAAGACUUGCCCCCGAAACUCCCUUUUCAGAACCGACAAUACCACUGGAAACCGUCCCGUCCGGAGCAAGUCCUAUCUUCAUCAUCGGGAGCUAAGCCUCUGAUUCAAUAAUAACCAGCUCCGCUUUAUUAGAUCAUAUGUCGAUGUUCUCUUAUAAGAAGAGUCAGUCGUCUGUUGAUCUUCAGAAAAUACAUAAUGUGUGUUCCCCAUUGUUUCUCUACGUUACUUUGAUCUUACCCUUUCAUAGACCUCCUGAUUGAGCACCUCCGGAUUGAGCCCUUUCCAGCUCUGCUCUUUGAACUUAGCCGAAGCUGUAACUUCACACAAUAGCAAGCAGACCUCAAUAGAAAUUGUUGUCAUUAUUUCCCGCUCGACCAGUAAGGCAUUCCACCCUAUAUGACGUGCAUUGAAUAGAACCAAAGGGAUCUUACAGCAACUACAUAAUGUAGACACUAACCCAUUUCAUUUGGAUUAUUAACUUCUAGUGUAGUGGGCAAUAAGGUACUUCUUAGACUCUUCUAGUGUAGUGGGCAAUAAGGUACUUCUUAGACUCUAUUCCAUCCCGCGCACCCUUAAUGGAAUUGAAUAUCAUUGAUAUUAGAUUAUAUCCCGCUUACCCUUUUGAAUAUCAUUGAGACACCAGCGCUUCCACUUAAUAAUGGACCUGAAGCCUUAAUGAUUUGUGCACAUCCACUUCAUUAUUGACCUGAACCAUUGAUUAUGGACCGGAACUGCCUAUUCGUAGGACAGCGCCAAUACAUACUAAAAAGGAGGAGGCAGCUACAUAUACGUUAGCUCGGGGAAGCACUCAUUUCUUUAUGAUAAUGAUCUACAACGAAACUCAGUCAGGUGCGAAACUACUCUUAUGCUCGCUAAACCAAAAGAAUGGAACGAACACAAAACUCAAAGAACUUAUAUCUAGGAUUGACUGCACCCUUGACUUAUGCUAUGGGGAUCCUCAAUCUACCGAAAGCAAUAGGCACCCCCCAAAAUAUAAGAGAGAUCCACAGUAAAAGCAAUACUACCAUAAUCGAGUCUGUGCUUUAAGGAGAGACAACCACUCUUUGACCCACAACCACUCUUUCUUUCUUUGACCGAGUUGACAGAAUAGGACAAGAGGACCGAGUUGACAGAAUAGGACAAGAGGGUACCUUUGACGACUUUCUUUAUAGGACAAAAGAGGCACCUUAUUUGUUAUUAGACUUUCCUUAGAGGAUAGGAACCCCCAUGGUAGAUUGGAAUCCCCUCCCACUAGACCAAUAGCUAUGGGUCAAAUUAGAGAAUCUUAUUAGUAACAACCCACAUACUAGACUAUCGGAAGCCGAUGAAAACCACUCAUACUAACACGCAAUGUCAUUUUGCUCCCUAACGCCGAUACGAAAACAGUGUUUACUUGCUCUUUACUCAACAAACAACAUAGAAAGAACACCCCAAUCUUUACUCAACAAACAACAUAGAACAUCCCAAUAUUAUAUAUGAUUGAUUAUUAUUGACUAUUAUAUAUGAUUGAUUAUUAUUGACCUGAACCCUUAAAGAUGGAACACUCAAAUAUUAGAUAUGAUUCUUAUUGACCUCGAACCCUUACUAAUAGCUAUCGGUACCAAAAUAGACUAAAUAGAUUGACUUACCUGUACUAUCACAUCGGGACCUUACGAAACCCCUAUAAUAUCAUUUCGUUUCGGCACUGUGAUCUCAAUAGCAGUGAUAGAUUAUUGACUGCCCGGAACCCAAUACGUACAGGAGUAGGCUGCUCUAAUAGGACGUACAGGAAUAGGCAGCCCUACCUAAUAGGACAGACUCCACCUACUAAUAUAGGGAGCUUCCAUCUUAGGUAUGGCGAUACGAGCUUCUAUCGGAGGUUAACUACUAUACACCGUUGUCAGUGGUCAAUAGCCAGAGGAGAGGGACCGUUAUCAAAGUCAUUAUUGUGAAGCCGCCCACAGCGUUGAUAAGAUCUUAUGGACGAUGCCUUUCCUUCAAGCAGUCGAGUAAAGUCAAGAGGGCUCGAGCCAAGCACAGCACCCACAGAGCUAUAUCUUAUAGCGGUAGUGCAGCCUAUAGCUUUUUCUUCCUUAUUUGUGAGAGCCUAUAGCUUUUUCUUCCUUAUUUGAGUUUAGGCUAUGUUAAGGUAAGUCAGAAAAGAAUAGUUGGUAGUGCACAUAUAGUCUCAAUUAGUAAAGUAACCGAACUCCUUUAAAUAUAAGUAGAAACUCCAGCAUAGUAGGUAGUGCAGUGCACAUAUAGUCUCAAUUAGUAAAGUAACCGAUUAGUAAAGUAACCGAACUCCUUUGAAUAUAAGUCAAAUAAUAUAUACUCCAUAAACACACUUCUGAUUGAACUUUCAUCAUUCAUAUCGGGGGCAUAAGAGAAUUCUUGCGGGUUCAGCGAAAUCAUUGAUUCUUUAACGCUCCCUCUCUCUUAUUAGCGUAUAUGUUGUCCCUACUUUAUUGAGAAUUGGGUACCGCACAUUGUGGGGAUAAUACGUAAUGUGGGUACCCCGCACUUCGAUUCUUUCAAUACUCCACUUUAUUCUAUCCCUUAACCCUGAAUUGAAUCUAGAUAGCAAUAUCCCUUAACCCUGAAUGGAAUCUAGAUAGCAAGCAUAUAUUAGAGAAUUCUUUCAAGUUAACCUCUAACUUCUGAAGAUAUAGCUAUCAUCCUCCAGAAUUAUGGAACCGAACCCAUUACCGCUCCCUUCUUAUUAUUCUUUACUUAUUUCAGUGAAUAGUAGUUACACAGAUUCUAUAAGAGAUGAAAGUGACCUCUUCUUUUCGCUUUAAGAAAGGAAUAAUUGUAGGUUCCAUCUAUAAGGAAUAAUUGUAGGUUCCAUCUAGAAAUAUCAGUUUCAGAAGUUCAUCUUUCUAUAAGUGAGUCACUUCACUGCUGUAUCUUUAGUUAUUGAAUCUCAUGAUUAUUGAAUAGUCUUGGUUUGGUGCCUAUAUGCCGUAUGAGAUGUUGGUACCGUAGUCCUAUUAUGGAGUAAGGAUUGUGAUUCUGAAAGUCGGUGCUCUGCUCUCUCUCUUAAAGGGUUAAGUCAGAUCCUGUCAAUAUACCGUCUGAAGGCCUGGCUUAAGCUACUGAAUGAAUGGAACAACUUCUUUUAGCGCUGACUUGAACCUCUUCUCCAGCUUAUGCUUUAGUUAUUGUUUUUAGUACUUCUGCAAGUGCUGAGUCUGCCUCUGUAUCUCAAUUACUAUCUUUAUAGGCGAUGUGCACUAUCAAAUAAGAAGUUUAGUUCAACAAGCAAGUCAUAAGUUCUAAUAACCAAGGGUGGUAGCUAGUAAAGUAUAAAUCGAAAGUAAAGUAUAAGGUCUCUCAACGUCGAAAGCAAGGGGAAAAACUCAAGUACUUCUGUAUAGGCUGAGGAUGCCAAGAAAUAGGAAAUUCUUCAAGGCAGGGGCACAAGCCAAUCUGUUUUUUUGGGGCACAAGCCCUAUAGCGUAAGUGAGCAGAACUUUCACUUUUCUUCUGAAUGACUUAGUUUGAGCUACAUCGGAUCGGUGACGACUUUUACCACUAUUCGGGCAAGGGUCAAGGAAUAGCGGCUCUGGGCUAUAAAGUAAAGAGUGAGUUUCGGAGUAAGGAAUGAGUUUUGAAGCAAUGCUCUAGAUUGAAUCUCUUACAUCUAUAUUCUUAGAUGGGAUGCUUUAUUCUUUGAUUGCACCGUUGGUUGUGCCCUAUAUUAUCCGUUCUCCGUUCGCCCAUGCUGCUUGUUUACAUAUUUGUUUACAUGUUAUUGUUCCUUUCUUUACUUGUUGAGUUCGAGCAUUCAACAUAUGGUUCUGUUGCUUGUUUACUCUAAACUAUAGCAAUACCACUUUACUCGUUGAGCACAUCGAGGUUCAUUGCCGGCAAUUCUGGUAGUCGAAUGAAGAAGUUGGGAGGGCCAGUAUGAAGUCAAGUCAGAGAAUCAUAUGCUAGUCAGGUACCAGUAACACUAAAUGAGGCCGGAGGCGGAAUGCUCUCGAAACCAAUUAACUUGAGUGAGACAUAGUAGAGUGGAGUUCGCCAUGUAUAUUCUUAUUGUUCCCUAGCUUAUAGGUUCGCCAUGUAUAUUCUUAUUGUUCCCUAGCUUAUAGAUUGUUCAUUGAAAGCACUACUUAUAGAUAGAUGAUAGUAAAAACACUGCUUACAAGUAUAUUGCUGACAGCUUUUCCCUUACAAACUCAUAUCGGCGCUGCCCAAGAUUUCAUUUCCCUUACUGCUUUUAUCUUGAAAACUCCCUUACUGCUUCUCUAAAAAACGAAGCUAGGAAACCGAACUCUAUACUCAAACCUAAAGAGCAUAGGUCUCCCUGACAACUACAGAAUGGAAUGGAGUGCACAACAAAUGUCAUAUAGUAACUAAACAGGCGCUUACUCUCAUCAAUAUAUAAAAGAGUGCAACAAAGGGUUCAGAACUUGUUUCAUUGAGUGCACUGUUGCUUGUUUUCUUUCGCACCCCGAUAAGUAGCCUAAGGCGAAACUCUUUGACUUAUGAUUAUAGCUUCAAAGCAAGUAAGAGAAUCGUUCAAAGCUGUAACCCAUUGGAGUUGUGUAAGAGGCCGAGGUAGCACACCUUUCUUUGGGCGAUAUCUACUCAAUUGUAUAAUGAGGAUCUUUAGCAAGCAAUAAGUACUUAAAUAAGACAUUUCGCUGAAAUCUAGAAUUCCACAUUUUGCAAGUGUACCAGAUUCUUGAUUAUUUCGAGGAAAAGGUGAGGGAGUCUAUAAUCCGUUCCUUUGAUAUGCGGAAUUUAUAUGAAGCUCUGUGUCGGUUAAGUGGAGUAGAGUCAUAGUAGGCGGCCAGAAGCCCUAUUAGUGGGCGGCCAGAAGCCCUAUUUCCAUCUAUCCGUCCGUGCAGCACUUUCUUCUUAGAAUCGAAUGGGAACUUCCAGUAUUGUUUUCGCCCCAUGUCUUUGAUGAAACCUGAGCUGAGGUAGAAGAAACGAAAGCGCUUAUUUCUUCCAUCUAAUAAGGAUGGAUAAGUCAAAACAAGAGAAUAUAACCUAAAAAGGAUAAGUCGAAACUCUAGAAUAGAACUCUUAAGGAACCAAAGAAGUCCCGAUCCGAUAGAAGUUGUUCUUCAAAAUGGACGCUAAGUACUGCCCUCAGAAAUACCCAAGAUAGACCCUACAGGCUUUUGUUAUGGAAAGGCACACUACACUGGUCGAUAAUUCUUUACGAAUGGUGAUACGCGCACGGCUAUACAUAGAGCUUAAUACUGAUUGCUUUUGGAUUCUAGCUUGGAAUAAGUUCACGGGCAGUUGCCUAUACAGCCUUUUCUUCUCGCAGUAAUCGAAGACCCGCUAUCCAGGCGAGAGCAUAAGCUUCUAGGAAAUCCGUUUGACUACGUAGUCCUAUAAGAACUGAUGUUAUAGCCUUGAAGGGAAUAGGGCUUACCUGCAAGAGAUAAGGCCAGAAACUCGGCGCAGAUAAGAAAUCUAUCUUCUCAUUGCUUUGUAAGGGGAAAGGCUAAGGGUUAAGGUAAAGAAUCAAGUGUUUGUAGUUUCAUCCAUCUUAGGGUUGCCCAUUGCGCGUUCAGGGGAGAAAACAAACCCGAGCUGUCUAUAACCUACCUCCUUUAUAUCGCUACUUUAUUGUCUAGCUAAUAUUCUCUCUUCUCUCAAAGAAUGCCUAAUACCUGAUCUUCGCGAGCGCUGCGCAUCUAACUCGUCUAGGUAAUUCGCGCAUAAUUCCUUUGUCAGAAAUAAGAAAAAGAAAGAAUAAUAAGAAGUUAUUGACUGAAAGCGCUUAGUAAGUCUAUAUUCCCUCUAUUGCUGAAUCCUACCAUACCUAUACAUAGAAUAGCUUGAAUUCAUAGAACUCCCUUGAGUCAGAUCACAAAAGAUUCUUUCAUGGUAAGGGGCAUCCUACUUUCUUUUCUAAUUCAAAUAGGAUCGAGUUUCUUCAACUUAAACAGCCCUGGGUCUUUCUUUGUUUAAUUGGUUCUCCCGUGGUAAGCUAUAUGACUACUGGCUAGGCUGGGCCUCCUAUUAAUAAAGAUGGUAAGCCCGAUCCCUCACUCUAUUCUCUAACCGCUGAAAUGGAUUGUUUGCUUCAUUUCCCUCACUCUAUUCUAUAACCGCUGAAAUGGAUUGUUUGCUUCAUUAAAGUAAAGGAUAGAAUAUUGAUUGAAAGCCUCCCUCCGUAAGAAGUACUCUAUUGCCAGUCUCGGUCAAUUGAAUCUAACUGAGCGGUUCGUACUUUCCUUUCCUAUUCUUUUAUAUAAUUCCUUUCCCAUUAUUUGAUAUAAUUAUGGAACGGGUGUCUGAAAGAUAACUAAAAGGGUAGGUGGGCCUAAUAACAGUCUGGUCUAUUCUUGAUGCGCUUUAAUAGAUUUGAAGACAUCGAAUGUCGAAUGAGUUGAAAGAUAGCCCGACUUACAAGUUCGAAAUGUUAUCUUCACUUUAUUGGCUCCAUCACCUGCUGCUGCCUCUCGAAUCUUAUUCUGUGUAACAGGGAUAGGGAUGCCAAGACAAUGAUAUGGCCCCUUCCUCUUCUCAGAUACUACUGGAAAUGCGCGAUUGAUCGAUGGCUCGGCUGAUUUGCCUGACCGAGUCCUAGUCUCAAACCAUGUCACUCGGGGAGGAAGAGCAGACUUGAAAGCUGGGUAGGAAGAGCAGACUUGCAAGCAGGAGUCACGUGCUACAAAAGUGCAAAGAUAAGAGGAACAUCACAGAAAACGAGCUCUUUCUCUGAUUAGCCCUGUAGAUCACUGGCUAGAUCGGACUCUCUCUCUACCUUUGCUAACUCCGCCAGUAAAGGAAGUUAGUCCAUAGCGCCGGCUUUAUCAAUUUGUUCUGUUCUCUUGGGGGAUAUACCAAAAAUGAAGUAGUGUGGGCAUUAUGAAAGGGAUGAUACUCUAUUAAAUAAAGGGUCAAAUACUCUAUGAAAGGGAUGAUACUCUUAAGGGAUUCUACUCUAAAGGGAUAUGAGACUCUCUUAUUUAUUCCAGAAAGCAAAGAGAACGAUUGGUAAACUAUUGAACUGUAAUCACUACUUCUAUUGCAACUGUGCUAUUACCAAUUCACUCACGGACUUAUAACAGCUUAACUAACUACUGUAUUGACUAGGGAUGGAAAGCAAGCUAGUCAUUGUCACUACUGCUAAGUAAGUACUAGUAAUAAGCAAUGUCACCUAUGUCACUAAGCAAGUAACAGGAAAGCAAAGUAAUGUUAACUAGAAUCUAGGGCUGUUAACUGUAAUCUAGGGAAGCUAGGGUAUUGUUGGGUUACCGCUAAGUGAGAAGCAGUUGUGAAUGAAAGAGGUCUUUCUUGCAGCUAACGCGAGCUACUUUAGCUUACGUAGUGAAGUUGCGCUAACGUCGUUUCCGUUGCUUGUUGAACUCGCCGUGCCGUUAUUUCAAGAGAAGCCCCAUCUCUUCAUUGUUUUGUGAAGCAGAUAGAACCAACCCGAGGCUUGACCUGACCCAUUCUAAGAAAGGCAAACUCAAUAGAUAGCUUCGAAGAGGAACUCGUAGUUACAGCUUUUCAGGGACAGUCAGACCUCCUUUGCAGCUCUUGAUACUCGGUCAUUCCUUCCGUUCAGCUUAAGGUCCCUCGCCUCACUACAUUCCCUCAGCCCGGACAGCAAAGAAAGGGAAAAGUCCAUAAUCCAACUUAUUUCUCUAAUAGCUCAUUCAUGUACUCUCUCUCUUACUAACCAAUCCUUAUCUUAGGGGGAAAGAAAGGAAAUUCGUAAUUGUACUAUCUUACUUACCUUAGCAAUCCUUUUACCAAUCCGUAGAAGAAAGAAAAAGGAACAUUGGGCCCAUCCUGAAUUAUUAUAUUAUAGGGGCUCGGCUCAUUCAUGAAUACAAUAGUCCCAGCUGCAGAUCCAUACUUGAUUCUUGACUUCCCUGACCUUUAUCUGCUCAAGUCAUCUUUCAUUCUAUCCGUGCUUUCUAAAGUAUCAAGUGUCCUCAUGUUGGUAAGAAGAUAAGAGAAAGGUAAAAGAUUUGUUGUAAGGUAUAGGUUUUGUAGGAGAGGGAGUAGUCAGAGUCCGAGGUGUCGUAGGAAAGGAGGUUGUUAGAGUCCGAGGUGUCGUAGGAAAGGAGGUUGUUAGAGUCCACCUGACGCCCGUUCAAAGCAGUAUAUUAUUUCUCUUUCUCCUCUUCUCUUUUCCUUGGUAUAGAGUGGAAAGUGUUCUCUUUUCCGAGUAGGAACUGUGUCUGAGGGGCCCCUAUCAAAGGAGAGAUUUUCCGGGUAUGUGUGUUGUCACGAAAGUGCAAGGGGUGAUUCCUAGCACGGCACGCACGGCUAUAGGUUUUGAAAGGGUAGUAAAGAAAGAGCAGAUAGGAGCGAGUAAGGUGGAAUGCGGGGACUUGAAUACCAGCCUAGGAACGAACAGAACAGGUCUUUUUCUUUAGUGAUAAAUGCAUUUCAAGCUGGGGCAACUACUAAUCAAAAGGCGGCAACGGAACCGGCAACUCAACAUAACUCCUAACAAUAGUAACAAAACAGAGCACUUAAGUGAUUCAUAUCAUCUCAUAUCUGUCCAAAAACUACCAUAAGCUCUUGCGCCCUAGCUUUGCCCCUAGCUUGUUUCAAUAAUCAAAGUCAGACAUCUUUCUUCCAACUAUAAAAACACUUAUGACAGCUUCCUUUAGCUCAAAACACUUAUUACAGCUUCCUUUAGCUCACUUGUUUACUUUCUUCGUGUCUUUUCUCUUACUAGGCCUUUCUUUAGCCCACUUACUUAUAUUAGUACUUGGUUGGUCCUUAGCUUUGUAGCAUCAUAGUUUCUACUGGUGCGCUCCUAACCUAAAUAAAAGUCAGUUUAGCGCAACGGCGAAAUGAGCAUUUAUAUGAUUUUCCAAGAACUCGCUAUAGAAUAUAAUAUAAUCAUAGUCAAAUAUAAUCAUAGUAAUAUAAUCAUAGUCAAAUAUAAUCAUUGUAUAGUAAACUCACAGUAUUGCUGACUUUCGACUUAUUGUUCUUGCUUGUUGAAUCACAUUUUCAUGAAGGACAACUAAACUAAUAGCAGCAUAGUGCCCCGGACUACAAGAAUGGAAGAUAGGCAUGGUUCUGUUGCUUACAGAUAUGAGUCUUAAGUGAGAAUGGAGGCAUAAGAGAAUGGAGUGCCCAGCCCAAUUCUAUAAUAUCAAUACCGCCGACUUUCUAACAACAUUACUAUAAUGAGACGAUACUUCCAUCUUGAUACGAUCGAUUCUACUUCACUUUCUUAUUCUUUAUUAUGGACUUCCUUCUUUAUACACGAUUCUAUUUCGACUUUCUUCUUUAUACACGAUUCUAUUUCAUUUGACUUUAUUAGAGACUUCGAGCAAGCAAUAAGGGUAGGCUGAGCUAGUGUGAACCAAAUCCUUUAUUCUUCCCAAACUCCAGUAAGUGUUAGCGCGCAUAUAUCAUAUAUAGAGUUUCUAUAGUGGAGCUUCUGAGUUCGCUAUUACUUGUUUUUUCUUUCUUUCUAUCUAUUGCUUGUUGAGUCAGGAGCUUUCUAGUAAGGGGUUAUGUUACUUUCUUGCCGAACCCUACACUAUACUUGAUAAGGACAAAAGCAGAGGCACUAUCAUCACAAACUAUUGAGUACAUGGGGAUAGUGUAGAGUUAGGGUACCAUUAAGUUCGUAGGGUACCAUUAAGUGAGUCAGGAGUCUGUCUGUUUUGAAGCAAAAGGAACAAGCACCAAAAGAGUAGAGUAUUCAGGAAUAUGCUUAGCGCUUCAACGCCCUGCCCUCUUUCUUGCUAAUACGUCUUUCCCGCCUUACCCUUAAUUCAAACAAGCCAAGGGGGCAAGAACAACAAGAAUCAAACUCGUAUAGGCAGCAGUUAAGCAGAAGCGGAGAGUUCCAUAAGUAACGGAAUCAAAAGGAUAAGCGCAAGGGAAUUACAAAGAAGAGAUUUUGACUUACUGGGCUUUCUGUACACUAACACGUCCCGUCCCGAACUCCCUUAACAGACAAAGGAAAGAUGGCUCUUAUAAUGCAGUGCAGUUUUUCUUACUAACAUGGAUCUGCGCCUAAUACGGAUCUUUUUGUUCUUGAGCUGAGCUCUUGCUUGUUGCAGUGUCACAAGUGUAGUUCGAGCAAACCCUGCUUUGAUUCUUGUUUCGCCUAUAACUGACUUAUAUUAUAGGAAUAAUGGGAAUAAGUAGUGGAGCUUAUGGGAAUAAUGGGAAUAGUGGAGCUCUUAUGGGAAUAAUGGGAAUAAGUAGUUUAGUUCCAUUUCGAAUAGAAUAGAAAGCUUCACUAAAUUACUCCGCAAUAAGAUUGAUAACUCUACUCACCUUUUCACCCUAAAAGUCACAGCUAACCCACGAAUGGCCAAUAAAGCUACCUUCAUGAAUAGCACGCCCCGAAUCCUAUCAUUAUUAUUGAAUACUCUAGGGUGUUUACAAUGGAAGGUCAGAAAUAGAGUGAGUGAUUCUUCAAUGCUAGAGCUAAGACCGAGGAGAAAGCAAGCGCUCUUAGCAGAAAGCUGGGCCGAAUAUCAAGUGUAGUCAGGGGGCUUUACUUAGCGAGUGGUGCACUACGGCUUUCAUGGAAUUGAACCGCUUGCUUCGACUUCUGACUUCACUGCUUUAACCGUACUCUACACUUGAGGAACCGCACUAAACUCGCUUACACUGAAUUGAUCCAGAUCAUGCUGCUUCGGCUCCCUAUUCUUCUCCAGCAAUAUGAUCUUCUGCUCCUCGGGAUUCAACAAGGAAGUAAGAUUGGAAUUGCACUACUGAUUCACUUGUCGAUUCAGAAAGGAGAGUUAUCGUAGAAGUUGAUGCUUAGCCCAGCUUAAGAUAAGAACCAAUUCCUGAUUCUUGUGAUCUACUACUUGCUUGUUCUGCAACAUUUCCAAUUGAGAAUUAUAUAUCUAUACAUAAAGAAUUGUAUAUCUAUCAAUAAAGAAGAGAAGGUGAAUACUACUCCCCCUAUUGAAGGAUUGGAAUUGAACUCCCGACUCUCCACUUGAGGAACAAACAGAAACGGAAUGGAAUUGCACUGAACAAGCACCGAACCCAGACUUGACUCACACUGCUUCCUUAUAAGGUGAAACUAGAACUUCGAUUCGACUUGCUGCUGGUGUGGCUGAUUCAUUCUCAUCAACAACACUAGCAUUUAAGUCUGUCGGGGCACUUGCUUUUGUUGGACCGAGUCAAACUGUCAUUUCAUCUCUCUCUUUAAUGGCUGUGGAAUCUAUCUCUUGAUAAGUGGAAUCUAUCCCUUUAGAAAAUAGAUCUUAGGAAUGGAGCUUAGGAAGCAGGAGAAUUCUGAUAACUGAUGCUGACACUGAGUCGAGUGCCGGUAUAGUAGCUUGUUCUGGAACGGGAAAGUAAAUGCAAGCAGGAAAGUGAAGUAAUACAGGAAAGGAUCAACGCGCUGAAUGAGAUUGAACUGAUUGAACUGAUGCUGAUGCUCUGUAACUUAGGAAUUAAUGGAAUCCUUCUUUUAUUGCUCAACUCCGGACAUUCAUUUUAGGAUCUUACCACACAUCUUCAUAUAUAUAUAGAAAUUUCCUUCCCUAACACGGAAAACGGGACUUGAAGACGCUCUUUCUUACAUUGUCUUUGUCUCAGGGGUUGACACCUAUCCGAUUUUGCACUCAAUGCUGUUUUAGAGUGGAAUCUCCUGUUUUCGUAUCAGCUAAAGCGUAAGUUGUUCAAUCUGAUGCACAUAGAUAUUCCUUUAAAUGAGUAAACUCACACUACUAAGUGUAGUUCUCCUAUUCCUAGUAUUCCUAUUAGUAUGUUUAGCGAGUGGGGAGCUAAGUAUUCGGUUAAAGAUCUCCCCCUCCCUUUUCUGAAACGCGCACCUACAUUAAACAAGGACUUUUGUAGGCUACCCUCAUUCUUUCGAGCACCGAGUAAACUCAACCUGGUUUCGGCUACCCUCAUUCUUUCGAGCACCAAGUAAACUCAACCUGGAAAAGGAAAUAAGGAAUUGACUGUUGAUCGAGCUUCUAACUCCCUAGUAUAUUGAUCUUUUGUGACCAAUACGGAUCUCUUUCUUUGCUUCGAACUUAACUGUCUUUCUAAACCGUAAGUAUCACCUACUGACAAUUGAAACUCGAACGUAACUUGAAUAACCGAAAAGUCAGAACCUAUCUUAUAACAAGCAAAAAGGGUCAGAAUGAAAUAGGUUACUGUAAUCUAUCGUACAGAGCACAGUGAAAGGAAAGAAUCUCUCUGAACUUUGUGACUCAAGAAGAAAGGGCGCAAUAAUUGCUUGAGCAGAGCGGGGUGCAUUAGCUUACCUUUCAAGGGUUCGCUUGUUAGAUUAGAGUUAUUUAUUGGAGUAGCCGAGUUCGUUUGUUAGAUUAGAGUUAUUAUUGGAAUUGAAGUAGUUCCGUAUCGCAUUAACUUAGUUGUCAAGAGAGUUGGGACGAAGUUAAGUGUUUUAGGGAGCUACGCCGACGCAGAGCUUCUUUCUACAUAUACAUACGCGGAGCUUCUUUCUACAUAUACAUACGAUGCAACUGGUCCUGGUAUAGAAUAUGAGAAAUACACUGCUUCCCUUUCUUCUUCUCCCUUAACGCGUAACUUUUGGAAUCGGCUGACUUUGAAAAAGCUUCUAAUCUGGCAACAUACUUUCCUAUUUGAAAGGAGUGUCCGUAGACAAGCAAUUCCUUCUAUGGACAAAGCCGAAGUGGAAAUGGGAUAGUUUCAUUAUGCGGGGAUCAUGUUAAUUGCAAAUGCUUAGCAAGAUGAUUAAGAAAGAGAGUACUGUACGAACGACCAUAGAAGAAGAUGCUGAUUGCUCUAUAAUGAUGUGAAUAAGUCUGUCUUGGAUCUUAUUCAUCUUUGAACCCGCUUUCCGCUCCUUGGCCCUUUGAAAAUGCAAUGUGCGCUGGUGAUCUAAUAAUAAUAAGAAAUAGAAGUUUAAUAGAUAGUGAAGUAUAGUAGAAAUAUAGGAGAGAACAUCAUCGAUCGUCUUAUUACCUCUUACUAACCCUAAGGCUAAUGGUAAAGCAGAGGCCACAAACAAGACCUUGAUACGCAUUUCAAAGAAAACGAAUGAAUCCAUAAAUGGGACGGGACUUCUUGCUUACUACCCGAAGCUAAGUUGAAAGCUGCAUUAGCUAAAGAAUCCACAUAAUAAUACCACACCCUGCCUGUCACUAAAGAAUCCACAUCGGACCGCCCCGUAUAGAAGAAGGAAUCUGGCUUCCACUAUUGAAUCCGCUGUUAAGAAGGUACUUCAACCAGAACGGAGUGGCAUGGGUCCCAGGGCUGUAAGCUUUCGAAGCUCCCCAAUAGCAAGAGAAGAUUCUCAGACACAGAAGGUAUUUUAUCGGUUUCAAAGGUUUAUUGCCUUUAGGCGGUAUCGUUUUAUUCAAGAAGGGAAGGAAUCGGGGGAUAGAGUUCUGCGUUUGGCUAUAUUGGAAGGAAAGGUGCUAAGAGCCUAACUCAGGAAAUCCAGAGGAAAGUCACAUUGCAGAGAAAAUCAUCCAUUAUAUACUAGUCUAAGUAGAAAAUCAUCCAUUAUAUACUAGUCUAAGUCUAAGUAAGCCCCAAACUAGCAAUAGUGGCUGAUGCUGGUCUUGAUCAAUAGAGGAGAGCGAGAUAGCUGUGCAAGCUUUGUGUAUGCCAGACCUUGAUCUUCAUCCUCAGAAUCAAGAGGGAAGCAAGCGCACAGAAGGGUCGGGUCAUCAGUCCGGCAGUGUAAACCAGAGCUCUCCGCUGGAAUAGUCCAUAACGGAAUGCGAUCAAAGGCGGAGUGCGCAAGAAGCGCCAAACAACGGCGCAAGCCGCUGCGCGGCAGCAACAAUAAUAGAUAUUACAAGUUAUAAACAAGUCCUGUGUUCGGGUGCUGAAAGCCUUUAGAGUUUUGAAUGAGGUUACUGAACGUAGGUCCACUCAACAAGCAAACUGUUCAUUUAUUCAAUCGACUUCUUCCAGAAUAUGAAUUUGAGGAAUGUGGUAGUAUCGUCUUCCCCCGUACUCCAUUAGCCCUGAGAGAGACUAAGACUUGCAAUCAUUCUUUGGGGACAGUGGUGAUUAGCACUUUGACUGUGUCUUUCGUCUUCCUCUCCAACUCACUCCUCUAGGAAAGUAUGGAACUACUAUAGAAAUACUUGAAGAGCAAAUAGCUCAUCUCGCUAUUCACAAUACCUCUAGCUCAAGUACCCAGUAGUAAGCCAAGCAUGAAAGUUCAAGCUAUGAUUCAAAAGACGGGGAAGCAUCCGUUUUGACUCGAAAAGCUAGUAAGUACCCAAGCUCUCCCAUGAAGUCGGGUUACAAGUUGAUUUGGUGAAAGAGUUUAGUUGGAAGGAAGGAAGUAUUUAAGUAAGUGCUGUAAUUUCCCCUACCUGUAUUGGAUUUCGAUUCCCCUAGAUCCCACCCAUAAGCCCUUUCUAGUAUGUCCUCCGCGCAGGAGAGUUUUGAUUAUUGGGUUAGGUUAACGAGUAGAAUUCUAGUUCCACUUCAAUUUCAUCUAACCGCGUUGCAAAGCUAAAGUAGCAUUGUACGGGAGAGUGCAGGUUCGGUGAAAGAUGCCUCCCACUCGCGCUCUUAGAGCUGAAGGUAUGAGACCCAUGAUUCGAUAUGGAGUCUGUAACUGUAGCUUAUGGUCGUCCUUGAUCUGCACCAUCGGUUAGGUUAUCAUUGCCAUAUUCAAAAGAGAAUCAAGCGUUAGUAUUGAAUCAAGUUUGAAACACGAGGGAUUUAGCCGGAUGCGCCAGCCCCAUCUUGCCUCUUCCUUUAGCCUCCAAUCAAAUAAAUAGAAAUGGGAAAGGGAUGCAACAUUCUAUCUUAGAUAUAGGGGUUGAACUCGAGUUAUACCAUAUAGGAAUAUAGGAAGGGAUGUAAUUGAACCUGGUGUACUUACUGGAAGGGAUGUAAUUGAACCUGGUGUACUUACUUUUAAGGAUUCCUUUCCUUAUUUGUAUGCACUCUGACUACAGGGGCCGGUCGGAGGCCUUGCUUCGACUGGAUUCCCCCACCACAGAAAACAGGAAGACGGAUCUAAUCUACGUAGCCCAUUUAGCUUUGAGCUCUCCUUUCCCUUGACCCCACUGUUACUUACUUGAAAGUUUUGAAGCGUGAAAAGAAAACGAAUAUAGACUGGCAUUCUUUCGUAGAACGAGGAAGAAUCCAUCCUUGCCUUGUUGAAAACUAUACCUAAAUGGAAUCGACCGACCCUUACUUAUUACUUUAUUACUGGUAAAAUGGCUAUUUAUGCUUUGCCCUCUGACACCCUUUAUCCAUCCUUAUUACUGCUAUGAUCAGGACAGAAUAGUUUGGCACUGGCAUUCUAACAGGCUAUUUAAAGAGGGCAGCUUUAUAGAUGCCUUUGAGAAAAACACUCUUGAGAGAAUCUAACCUUUGAGAAAAACACUCUUGACAAGUAAAAAAACACCCAGCAAACGGAGGGUAAGCAUCAAAGAAAAAACGAACUAAGCCUAGCGAGGGUAAGCAUCAAAGAAAAACGAACUAAGCCUAGCGAGGGUAAGCAUCAAAGAAAAACGAACUAAGCCCUGCUAGCUAACUAAAGCAUCUUUCCUUACCUAAGCCUCACUAGCAAACUAAGGGUAAGCGCAUCAAAUAAAAGAAGAUAGAGCCGCGCAUCAAAGAAAAGAAGAAAGAGCCUAAGAAUUCCGGCAAAGAAAAGAAUGAAGAGCCCAAACCUAACUACUGCGGAUCGGAUCUUUGAUAACCAGCUUAGCCCUGUAGUUAAGAUGCUUCUUAUUCCUUUUUAGCACAUAGGAUCUCUACUAUGAUUAGAUUGUAUUAUGAUCUUCGCCAAGGUUGGAAACGGAAGAAAGGAAAUGGAUUCUAUAUCUUCAUACUAUCAGUUAACCAAUCUUUGGAAAAUUCCUCUGUUUCUUAUAAUAUAAACACCAUUAGAAGUAUAUUUCACAUGCAUUUCUCUAUGAUAUUCCAUUCCUUUGAGUUUCGAAUGUUUUGUUCCUUAUUUCUAUUCUAUUAGUUUAGUUUCAUUCAAUUCAGAAAUAGUUGCAUUCAAUUCAGAAAGUGAGAGUGUUUUGUUACCGAACAAGCAAACAAGCGCUGGUAGUACUACAGUAUUUGCUAAAGCCCACUCCGCUCCAAGUAUCGUUUCAAGUUGAGUAGCCAGUUGCAAUAUCAGUAUCUCGUCUUGCAUCAAGUCUGGUUUUGAAACCUCGGGUGAAGUAGCUCGUGUUAGCUCACAGUUUUGGCUUUCAAUUCAUGGUCAAUUGAUCUGCGCUAAUGGGAGUUACGCAAGGCUAGAAACAAGGGCGGAAAGUCUAGUUUAGUAUCUGGUUGUUCAACCCCAAAACAAUAAGCCUUAGCACCCCGAAAUCAACUCGAUAAAUCAAUCAAUCAAUAAUUUCAGAUAGAGCGCGUUCCUUUCCUCAUAUAGAAUUUCGUUAAGUAACCGGAGAGCACCUAUUCUUCCUGACUAGUCACAGAGCACCUAUUCUUCCUGACUCCUGACUUGACUCACUAGCGCCGGCAAAAGAAACUCUCCUUUCUGCUUAGACUGCUUAUUAUUGAGUAAAUUGAGUAAAUGACAGCUUCUGAUACAGCGGAUUCUCUUACAGCAGGAGCAUACCGAGCUAGCAAACUCAAGCUCAAAAGAAGAGCCAGCAUUGCAUCUUUAUAUUCCGGCGGUGAAGCAGACAGUGCAGUUCAGAGCUUAGGUGACUAUCAGUGGUGCACUCAAUUCCAUACGAAUAAUGGAACUUUCACGUCCGUUUUGGAAUGAAGUCUGCAGUUCUGAGUUAGGUUACGAACUUCUACUUCCAUAAGUGAUUCCGUACAAAAUGAUAAGUGAUUCCGUAACAAAAUCCAAUUCUCUUUCUUAGAGUGAGGGCAGUGCAGUGUCUUUACUCAAUUCUAUACAAUUUCCAUUUAUUACUUUCGGCUCUUCGUCCAACAUUGUACACGGAUGCUACUCACCUGUAGGGAAAUGAAAUAGGAAGAACAAAUAGCAAGACUCAAUACUUUAUCGCGUUAGGAGUUCUUUCACACUGGAACCCGACUACUCUACUCCAGCGAGCUACAAGUUCAAAGGACUAGAGGAGCAAAGCCAAGUUCAAGGGAGCUGCUGGGUGCUAAAGUGAACUGUGAGUUUCGGAGUUUGGUGAAUAAUAAAGGACAGAGGCAGAGUCAAGUUAUGAGUUGUGCGCCAGCAGUAAACAGUGAGUUUCGAGUAACAAGCAACAGCUAAACAGGCAACUACUCACUCUUGGACUGAACCCCUGGCAUCUCCCCUUGCUGGUAAGGUAAGGGUUGUUAUACUUCAAUAAAGCAAGAGCAGCUUUAGCUGGCUCACAGGCAAGAAUGCAAGGGGCAAUUAUAGAAUGGAAGAGGCAAUUCUCAAGCUAAAGACGAAAGGUUAGGGCUUGGCUACUACCCCGAGUUCUGAUAUAUAGAUAACAUGCUUGCUACUUACUCUUUUACAAAUGGGGGUAACUGACUUUAUUUCAUAUGCUUUGGCUUACUUACUCGAUUCUUUGACUUACUUAUUGAAAUACGGAAUGACUAUAAGGAAUAACAGACUGGACUAAUGAAAAGGAAAGGAAGGAUUAGUAGUUAUCCGAGACAGGAAGGCUUGUUCUGGGAGUUCAGUCCUCUAAAUGGUAGUUCGAUUAACAGGUUUCGAGCUUUAUUCCCUCUGGCCUACAAACUCAUUUUGGACUGUUGAGUUCAAUCCCAGUUAGAGCAGUAGUUAAGUCUCUAGUUUAGCUGCGAGGCUCGUUCAAUCCUGCUAUGCACCUGCUCAUUCCUAUACAAUUUCGUUCGAUUCUUUCCAUUAGUAAUGAAAGCCCUAGUUAAUAGUUGUUCUCUUAUUUCUCAAGCCUUAUUCUAUUAUCCGAUGUUCAAAUCUUAUUCGCCAGUAGCUCUCGUACCUACUCGACCAGUUGCCCGGGCAUUCCUAUCAAACUGACGUUACUUUACAUGAUUCUGACUAUCCUUUCUUUAUUCUGUAGUUACUGAGCCGAAUCUCAAAUAUGGUACUGCCCUGUUAACUCCUGCAAAUAUGGUACUGCCCUGUUAACUCCUGUAAGUUAGCCUCGCAGUAAGUCUCUAGGUUUCUUUUCUUAGUCUACCCUUCUGUCACUUAUCCGAGGCUCGCUCUCCUACCUCUAGGAAUCAAUACAAGAAUACAUAAUAUAAGUAUGGAGUAUCAGAUUGGGACCAAUACCAGAAGGAAUGAAACACCAAACACCACGCUAAACCACGCUAAACUCAAAGUUAGUGAAUAAAGAAUGAAAUUCGAAAGUGCCUCUCUCUUGUAAACCUACCUCUUCUCACCAACCUCCCUCUCGACAACCUAGUGCUAGUAGGCAAGUAGUCAGAAGAAAACCUUACUUAAAGAAUCCAACUCAGUAGUCACAGAACGAUGCCGGAACUAUAGAAUUACAGGUGCAAGGCGUAUACUGUGAAUAAUCCAAAUCAGAAUGAUCCCAUGGCGCGCAAAUCGGAUAGAAUUGCCCUGAUUGGUCUAAGCCUAUGAACCCGGACAACGACUAGGAGGUAAUCAUCCUAAAAUAACAUAGGACUUCUCUUACUGCUCUCGAGCCUUGCCUUAACGCUACCCGCCCUUGCUUCGAACCUUGCUCUACCUUCUUUGAUUCCAUCUUUGAUUAUUUCAUUAAGUAUGCAGUGCUCUGAUAUUGACUAUUCUGUUGACUUGUAUUAAUAUGAUUCUGUUGACUUGUAUUGAUAUGUAUUAUUGAUAUUCGUUUUCUCAUAUAUUGGAUAUUAUUCUAGUAUAGUUUAUUAGUAGUUUGCUUAGCUACACUAGGGCUCUACUUUUGAUAAAAAACUGUAGUUGGUUUUCUCUUGAACGGUAGAUCAGUUGCUUCGGUGUUAAGUCAAAUAACAUCCCUAUGAGUGAAGUAAAACACAAGAAUGAAGCACAGAAGUCAGCAUAUGAAUCAAAAUACAAAAUAGAAAAGCGCCCCAUAUAGCAAUAGACUAAUACUAGUAAGAUACAGAGCAUCCACUAAUAGGAAUAAGAAAACAACUCGGAAGUAAAGGAACGAAACUCAUAAGUAAGGAAACAUCGGCGGGAAGCUCAUAAUGAACUAGUGCCUGAUAAACCUUGACUUUGGUCUUGGAACUCGGGCUGAAACACUGAUACGUAGGAUCAUACUUGCAUCCGCCCCACUAAUAUAGGCUUUAUACCUAUUAACUUAAGUCAUGUAUUUAAAGAGUGAAAGUCAAGAUACAGAAGUUUAGCUAAGCAACUUACUCAGAAAAUACUAAUCAAUAUUAUCUACGCGAAAAGAAUAAUCAAAUUAAUAAUGAAAUGAACAAAUAAGGCUUGUCGGGCUAAUAAAGUCAGGCUGGGGUUUGAUUCUCUUACUUAUUAAUUAUUCUCUAACUAAGUUGUUUGUGGGCUUUUAGUUACUGUUCAGUCCAAUCAAUCCCUAUUCCUAGUAUUCUGAGUCAAAGCCUGGAGCGGGAGAUCUAGAGAGAGGAAAGAAAGACUUAAGUCAAGGGUAGCGGGAAUGAGAUAAAGUCAAAUAAGGUUUGGUUAGCGGGGUAAGUAUUGUUAGUAUACUAUUUGCAGUCCAUUACUUGGUGGUUAGAUUCCGAGUUUGUAGUUCCAUUCUUUCUAUUGAUCUUACAGGUCUUGUAGUGUUAGCCACCAGUACCUGACUUUCUAGUGGAUUUCCCUAUAAUAAGGUAAAGAAUCAAAAGACCAAUUCCAAGAGUGAAAGAAGUGCAAUAAAGAUACGAGAUCGGGAGUUACUGUAUUGGAAGCACUAGUUUCAUCCUAAUUUCAUAGCUCAGUUCCCCGUUGCUUGUUUGUAGUCUGACCUUAGAAUAGAAAUGAUAGUCAAAGCCUGAGUUCAAAGCCGAUGCUUACGACUUAUAUUACUAAUUCUUGUAUUGAUUCCUAUAGCUAGUAACGGAAGAGCUAAAGACUGUAUAGUAAGGCUCGGAAGCUAACAAGCAAGUAAUGAAACAAGAACCACUAACUUCAGGGCUGGACCCGGACUCUAAUCUACCUCUGGUAAAGCACCAAACCCAUCUCUAACCUUAACAUCAAGUAAAGACUUAUUGUCUACCAAUAGGGAUGAAACUACUAAUGAAGGGCUCGGUAUUCCACUGGCAGCUGGCAAGGCAACUACACCUCUACCAAGAACAGGAGCAGAAACUUACAAUAAGAGCAGCAGCUUACUCUCGCACGACAUCUAAUUCUUCUCCUAGUUCUUUACCCACUCUGGAUACAACUUCCUUUCGAACUGCAUCUGCUUAUAAUGGAUUUUCUACUUCUAGAUGGGAUGAUUCUCGAACUGCAUCUUUAAACGAUGAAACUAGAACGGGAACUUACCGACAAGGAGUUACAGCACCGACGUAAGAGCCAUUAUUAGAUGAAGCCCCUGCUUCCCUGAACCCAACGAGUAACUACUAAACUCACUGGCAAGUCGACUUGCCUCGUAGCUUGGCUCUUAGUUGUAGGUAGGCGGUUGUAGGUAGGCGAGAAAGAGCACUGGGUUUGUUCCUUCUUUUCUUCUAUGAAAACCCUCCCGCUAAUUAUUCUUAUUAUGUUUCCCCGGCAUGAAGGUGAAUUAUCACUCAAGCCUCUGAAACUACAUUCUGAGUGUUUCCCCUAAGACGAGGGACCCAUACGCUGCACCCAUACUAGGCACAACUCUUGACUUCUGGACCACUACUUUAAGGAGCCAAAAAAGGGACUUGUUCAUAACUAAUCAAAAUACGUAAUUGCUUGUCCCGUUGCGAGUCUAGUAGUUGCCUGGACUACUACUUGUUUGGGCAUUUCACAGUACUAUAGUAGCUUGUCUGGUUAGUAACAUUUUCUAUCGUAGGGAGCGGGGGGCACUAACAUUCUUCUCCUCCUGAAGAUACAGCUUAAUAUCUUUCUUCCGCGGAUUCUCUCUCUCUAAGACACCUUGGGCUAAGGGAAAUAACAGAAGUGUAGUUACAAACCAGAGAUGUGUUUUAAUUAGUUCAGCAACAUCAAUAUAUGGUGAAGCUCGGGAAAGCACGGGAAAGCACCCGGGGAAAACGAAACACCCGAUUGCUCUAAGUAACAUCUAUAUGAAACUCAGUAUUCUGUCUCAGGGUAAAGAACAAACAGGAACUCGUAUUCUGUCUCUGUCUAAGGGUAAGGAUAAAGAACAGGAACUGGCCGAGUCGAUUCAUUCGGCCUUAUGUAACUCUACUAUACCACGCUUCAAUUGAUUACUUAGACCUCUACUCGGCUCGAUCAAACCAAUCACCUCUCGCUACAAUGACACUUCCCUGACUUGAGUUGAGACUUAACCGACGAAGAUGAUCUUUAUGAUGAAACUGGAACAGGAACUGGAGCAGAACCUUUACACUUUACUGCUCUGCUGACUCCUUACUAAACAAGCAGGAGAACUCGCACCAAAAGAAACUCCAUCACUUUCUGUACCGCCGCAACAGGACUUGUACCUGGAUACAACACUGGAACUUCUGAUUAGGAUCUUUCUUAUACUGCUGCUCUCGUUGACUUAAACAAAGCUUAGAAUACUGUUGCGUUAACGGAAGGAGAUGAGCAUUCAACAUUAUAUUAUUUAUAUGAUGAUACUCGAACUAGGCGAACAGAACAAGUAGACUUCACAAAACAAGUUCACGCCGCUAACCUUAGCAACUGCAGACCCGAUUGCUGCUUCAUCGAAUCCUUAUGCUUCAGAUCCUACAGCUCGAAGUCAAAGUUAAGUAUCAAUUGCAUCUUUCUUAUGGUCAGGGCAACUUGCAUUAGCCGCAACUACUGUAAUGGAAUCUCUCGCCUCGCUGACUUCUUUUAUUGAUUACUUUUGCUUCUGUUAUUAAUGGGUUAUUCAUUACUUCUUCCAUAUGGGCUACACCUUUUGUUCUUAUUCCAAUUCUGAUUCUUUCAUUUAGUAUUUAUGGUUUCAUUCUUAUACUUGUUUUGUUAAGAACACGUACUCGGUUGACGAGAAUAAGUGCAAUUCUAACUUUCGAAAAAGGGCACAUAGGGUAGGCGAGAAAGACGAAAACUUUACUUGCUUGGGACUGUUACUAUAUACUUAGUAGAGUUCCCGAAAACGUUUGCUACUCAAGAAGAAGAGGUUAAGAUAUUCUAGUUUAGGCCAUAAAGAGAUGUUAGGCAGAAAUGCACUCUAAGGACAGUUGAUUAGUUUCAUGGGAAAUACUUCUAAAAACAGGAAAGAUUAGAAAUAAAGCAUUUGGAGCCUAUAAAGCAGGGCAGACCAGACCAUUCUUUGAAGCGCGGGUAGUUUACUUACUUGGUUUACUUACUUUGUGGUUCCUGCACUGAUCUGGUUUACUUCCUUCAUUCGACUAGCUAACCUGCCUCUCGUAGUCCUGUCCCCUUAAGUAAUUGCCCGGGUUUUGUUAAAAAGUAUCUUUCUUGUUCUGGUUUAAUCCCAGUAGUUAGUAGUCCUGUGAGAGUUAAGUGAUAGUCCCCUAGUUGGAAGCUUAAUAGUAAGGCUCGCACGCACACCGGAAGGUAUCAAACAGAGGAUAAGAAGGAAGUUACAGGAAGGUAGAAAACGGAAUUGAGUUAGAUGAGCUGAGAGCCAGAGUUAGAGGAGAAAGGAUAUAGAUUAGGUAUCGGCUUUGAAGCUAGGUGUGAGCGAGGUCUGUUAGCAGAGCCCUAGGAAAGUCUAGUUUGGCUGUUGACCAGGUCAGUUAUGAUUAUUGGAAUACCGGGUAGUCCUGCUUCAUCAGAGGUUUAGUCCACGGGUAGUCCUGUUCGAGGAAGAAGAAAGUACUGGGUUCGAAGCGGGGCCAGCUCCUCUCAGCGGGAAAGAAAUAAAGUCAUAAUUUCAAUAGGAGACAGAGUGAAAAGAGCCAGAGAAGAAUUAAGGUCUAGUAGCCGAGGUUCACUCAUAGGUCAGAGCCAUAACUUGAUUUGUUUACAGAGUUAGAUGAGAGUCCAGGGCUAGUUCCAGUGGAAUUCUUAUCCGUAUUUGUAACAAGAGGAGAGGGAGAGGAGAGGUCGGAGAGAGAGAAAGAAUCUGUUUUAUUGGGAGAGGAAACUGUUUCAAUAGCAAGAUCAGAGGGAUAGUUUCAAGAGCCAGAGGAGUGGUAAAGUGGAAUCUGUAUUAGUAGUGGUAUGGUCCAGUGGGGUUGGUGCUCUAGCUCUAAGUCAUAGGGAUUGUUUUGGUAACCAAGUCCUGUCUUUGGGGCCGCUAUCAGUGCCACUUAUAUAUCUGCGAAUCUUGAAACAAGCCCAGCAGGGUUCAAUGAAUUGGGACCGAUCGCCCGAAUGUGAAUUGGUCCUUUUUUGCCAUACGUUGCUUGGCCCAGGAAUUCCACUAUCUAUUACUUAUCAGACGGAAACAAAGAAUAAAGAAGUAGCUCGAUUAGCGGGCUCAACACCCAGAUUGAGAGUACUUAUUGGUGAAGCUGUCAACCCAACUAGUAACGAAGAAUAAGCCGCGUUAGGAAGUCAACAACACUCGCUCGCCCUACUGCUCCCCUACCAUAAUUGCCACUAUGAACCUUUCCCUACUGAUUGUCAAGGAAAACUGUUAAUUGAACGCAUUUUCUAUCUCUUGCAACUUUGCUCCCUCCACUACGGGACUGCACCCCGGAACAAGCAAUGGCGAUAAGUCAAGUAAUUUCAGUCAACAACAAUCGGUUCAUCAAGUCGAGGAGAGGUUAGCGCGUCAAGAAGAGGUUAAGCGGUAAGAAUCAAAUCAGUAUUAGGAACAUAUGAUAAGCGUCAAUGUCGUGUAACAUCCGAUAGAUACCUUCGAUACAACUAUACUAUAUUAAUUCUAUUCCGCCUCUUCUCCUGAUCCUGCUUUCUGAUUAAGAUAAGAUCUUUCUCUUGAAGAAACGAUAACUCCACGCUUAUACCAUUCUUAGUGUAAGUCAUGGAAGAAGAAACGAUAACUCCACGCUUAUACCAUUCUUAGUGUAAGUCAUGGAAGAAUUCAUUGUUAACGGUUAAAGUGUUCAUUGAAGAAUGUAGGUAUGGAUGCGCUAGAGAAAGUACCUUAAUGCAGAGAAUGAUGUACCUAUUAUAAAUAAGAGUAAUGUAUGUAAUAUCUAUUGACCCUGCUUAAAUACCAGUGGAAUCCCGGCUCUAUUCAGUGGUGUAGGGGUGCUUUGCUUGCCUCUCUUCAAUGCUUGCUGUUUCCUUACUGGAUACUUCGGAUUCCCUAAUUCCAGUUUUUCUGCGAGACUAAACUUUCACGAUGGGGGGCCUGUCUUCAGUCGACAAAGGAUUCUCUUCUUCUUCUAUAGAAGAUGAAACUUGAACUACUUCUUUAGUACCCGCCCACCAAAGAAAGCUAAUGCACUACACGAUGGCUUCAAUAUAAGUAUAAGUCUUAAAUAUAAGUAAUUUGCGUAAGAAGAAGCUUAAUCAUAUUCUAAAUACAGGGCAGCAUGAAUAUUAUGAAAUCUAAGUGUCGUUCUUUUUUCGGUAAGUGAUGAUUCAGUGUCAAAGGUAGCUCUGUGCCCACGUACAACUAGGUAAGCGCUUAACCGAGAUCAUAGAUAUAUGGUAAUAUUAGGGAAUCAUAGGAAUCAAAGGUGUCACUUGUUAACUAAAAGAAAGGGAGGUGUGUUGACCGCGUCUGCGAGAUAGGUUCUUGUUUCCUACUUAAUAUUUCGGGUCAGCUAAGCUUUAUUUGUAUCUUCAGUAUAAGAAUUGCCAGUUACUGUUAUAAGAUAUGAAGCAUAUGAAUUACCAACCAGUUCAGGUGUUGUAUACGAGUUCCGUUGUUGGCUCUAAGUCGGUCAUGGAAAGAGGUAGCUAAACCAGCAAGGGGAGAAAGAUCAUAAGCAUGAUUAGAAGCCUGAAAAGAAGCUGCUCCGUAAACUGGUUCAGGCCCAGUCCAAGUGCUUGAGUAUCUUUCGGAAAGCCAAGUUAUAGUGUUGUAUCUAGUUAGCGCCCAAAUAGAGGAAUAAGUUACAGGUGAGUCAGCAGUUCGAGAAUCCGCAGUGAGGUUAGGUAGAGCAGAGCCAGAGCCAGAGUUGCGGUUCCUAAGUAGUAGGAAUCUCUUGGGGGCCAAGCAACUUAUAAUGUAUAGCGGCAGGAGCCCCGGUGCUCGUUAAGUCAUGUAGAUGGAGUUCUGUGCUGUUUGACUCGAAGCAAUAAGGCGAAGUUAAGAAGUAUUGACUUGCUAGUUAGGGAAAGGGAACUUAGUUGACUUAAACUUACAAUAAGAGCCUAUACUCAAGAAGAGAGGCCAAGCUACCACUAAAGCAGAGCCUUACUUAAUAAUGGGAGGCAGAGGCACGGUUAGUUGGAUAAGGUAUCAACUUCAGAGAAGACUCAACUAGGGAUGAAACAACAACAAGAAAAGGCCACACUUCAGAAUUUCAACCGAAACAAGAACAUAUAAUAACUAUAGCUUGUGUCUUCUCUUUCAUCUUUCACGUUGUUUAAGCUCUGUCCAAUUACUCUUAUGGCAAAUUACUCAUAUCAACUCUCCUACAGCCCAACGAAUGAAUUUGAUCCUACAAAUAAAUCGGUUCCCUUUCUUAUUCCCUUGCAUGUUAAGAAGAGAUUAUUGCCCAUACUUGCCCUUACCGGGAUUUGCGCUGCUAUGAGAAAGAUUUGCUUGUACAUAUCUGGCGAGGGAUUAUUUCUUGCCUUCAUAGAGACUCAUUUGCGCCUGCCUUCUGGCAAAGGGACCGAUGGCUAGGAUUGGUCCUUCUUUAUCACCCCCACCUAUCAAACACAUUAUUUACCUAACCUCAUAUGCUACUCACCUUAGUGCUUGUAUGUACAAAGAAAGGAAAGGAUCCGCUGUGAGAUGAGAAUGCAGCAAGGAAGGAGGUAGGUUAUCAAUAUAUAUAUAUAAUAUAAAGGAGGGAGGUUAUCCAAAUAAAGAGAUCUCUCUUCUUCCAGUAGUCAAGGCCAAGGGUUUGUUUGGAAACUAUAGAAAACAUACAUACGAACUUAAGGCCUUUAUUCAGCCGGCAUAAAGAAAAAGAAAGGCCGCAGGAUGAAUUAGAAGGAAUAAGUCCCCCUAUCAUAACUAGAAAUAUUGAGUCUCAUGAUAUGCUGGAAGUGUUUUUUGAUCAGAGUAAUGCCUGCCUUCAGUCGGAACUUCAAGCCUUUGCUUUGGGCUUACUCCAAAAGGAAGCCUGGACUUUGGUCAUUUCGCAUCUUGGGUGUGGUGAACUAGUUUGUUUGUUUUACAAUCCAUUCUUCCUUCUUAUCAAAGACCGCUAUUAUUAGCUUUUCAAUCAAGAUGAACUUGAGAUGCUGGGACAGAUUCCUUUACCAUACUACGAUGACAUCGCUUUGACCGAUGGGUGCUGCGUAGGGGCGGAGAAUCUUUUUGAGUGCGGGUAACGUCUAGGUUCCUUCCAUCCUAUUUGACUGAGCAGAGUAUAUAAGAGCACUUACCUUCGAGCAGAGAAACUGACUAUAUGGGGCAGGGCUAACUUAAAUUGAAGAGCCAGACUUAGAGCCAAGAUGAAAUAGUCAGAGUGUAAAGAGAACCCGAAUUAACGUACAAGCACAAGUGGAAGAAAAGGUAGGGUUAGAGCAACACCAAGCACAAGUAUCAAAUAUGGGUUUCUAGUUUCAUCAACGAGAUCAUCUAAUGUUGCGCGGCAGUAACCAAUUUGUGUACCAGGAACAGGCAAUUGAAUGGAGUCGCCUUAACCUGACUUGAGAACAGAAACAGCUCUUUCAUCUUACCAGGUAUAUAUAAAUGAGUAAGGGUACUGCGCUUCUUAUCUUUAUUCCUAACCUGCCUCAGAUCCUGUUUCAGAGCUAAGAUCAGUAGUAGAUUCCAAUUCCAGAGUUGUUGACAGUUCCGUUCGAGAAGCAGAGGAAAAAGAGAGGAGGUGUCACCCAUGUAAGGAAAGGUUGUUGUUGCCAAAGGAAUGCAAAGCUGUGUCUUUCUCCACGGUUCAAGAUUAGAAACAAGAUCUGGAUCAUCAGCAGUGUUGUAUCGGGGUGUGAUGCAACAAGCCCAGUUUCGUCAACAAGUAAAGUGUCUUAAGCAAAUAAAGAAUGGAACUACCGCGAACCUAACUCAGGUAAUAAGUCAACUCCUUCCCACGUGCUACUAUACUAGAUUCUUAGACUAGGGUACGAUCUCGCCCACAAAGUAAUGGAAUAUGCCCUAAGUAAAUGCAGAAUUCAAUAAUCAAUAAAGAGUUCAACAAAGAAGUAUAAGAAUCCAAUUAAUAAUGGUGUUUAUCCGACGCUAACAAACAGUACUUUAGAAAAAGGGUUGACUUUAUUACUACUUGAGAGAAAGAGCACUAGGCGAAGUGUUACCAGAUUCUAUCUUACCUGGGCGCGGAACAAGACGGAUUUGAUUCUGUUUCCUCUGAUCCAUAUCUUGAAACUAGCACUGGCAAUACUCACUUUGCUGGCAAUACUGUACUACACUGCCUCACCUGUCACUUAAGAUUAUAUCUCCUCCGCUCUGGAAAGCGUAAGAAGCAAGUUUUUGCGGAGAUUGCCGUUACCCUUUGUUAACGUCACCUUAUUGACAACCAUGGAAGCGAUACUGAUUUUGUUAUUCCAGCCCAACCUAACGAGGAAAGGCAUUUAUUGGGGUGUGAUAGGGCGGCUUACCCUAAAAGGAAUUUGACAGAAAACACUUUCUCAUUGGACCUGUAGCGACCACUAUGUAGGAACAUGCAUGGAAGCAGCUUUCUUUUGCUUAGAUGAUUUGCUGAGAUGUUGGAGUUAAGGGAGCGGUUUUCCUAUUAUUGAGAUUAGAGAUGGAUGGAAAGAAAGUGGUUGAUAACGACAUAGAGAGAACGGAAUUAAGGGAGCUGUUUUCCUAUUAUUGGGUGGGAUUAGAGCGAGAUUAGAGUAAGGAUGGAAAUCCGUGUUUGAUAACGAGAAAGAUAGAACGAUUUAGAUUGGAGCAGACGAUACAGAUUAGAGAUGGCUAGAAAUAAGGGAUAGUAGGAUGGAUUGCUGGAUAGAACUAAGUGUUUCUAGUAGGAUUUCGUAUCCAAAAAGGAAGAAUGCUUUAUGCCAACAGAGGAAAGUUGACUAAAGCUCGUAACAGGGCGGGGAAAGGAACGAGGGAGGAGUGCUUUAUACCACCAGACCAGAGGAAAGGAACGAGGGAAGAAUGCUUUAUACCACCAGACCAGAGGAAAGGAACGAGUCGACGCCAAACACAUAAAGAAAGACGAAUCACUAUAUUCAGAUAGAAUGAAGAAAGGUGGACAGAUAGAAUGAAGAAAUUACUACCGAUCAUGCGAGAAACCUACAGAUUUUCCGAUAGCUUUUAGGAGGCAAACCCACUGAUGUUACGAAUUAUCGGUACGCUUUUGGGAUGAUAUUACAAGGGUAGUUCGGAUGCUUGUGUUAAGCAAUGAGAAAAUCGAUAAUAUAGAACCUGAGUCAAUCGAGAACCGAACACCUUCCGCUACACUUACUAUGUUACUUGGCCCCUACUGAAUUCUAUCUCUUCUUAUUAAGAACUAUCCAAAUCACUCUUAUUAUUAAGGAUAAUAGCGUUGAGAAAGAUCUGAUGCCGGGCCCCAGGUGUUAAGAAUACAGAUCUGGUAUAGGCUUUGAAGUAGGUUUCUUCUGUAAGUGGUUGGGUUGCUCGUAUAGUUUCUUUCAUUCAAUUAGUAAGUAUAGAUAAGUGCAUCGAGCUAGGACAAAGGAAGAGGAAACACACACACCCACUCAUAUAGGACAGAUAGGACAGAGGCAUAGGGUGGUGAAGUAGGACAGAUAGGACAGAGGCAUAGGGUGGUGUCAAAGAGACUUUAGAGUGGAAUGAAUUAUAAUAAGGGCUUAUGAACUGGAACUGGGGUAUAAACAGCCCCAUGGAGCCCUAAUUCUUUUAGUAAUAUAUGCAUUAUUUUGCCCCUAUGGGGGUGCGUCAUGUCAUAUUUCCCAUCAAACUUCUAAAGAUGCGAAAGAAUGCUCCGAUUACCCUAUUCUUUGUUUUAGAGUGGAAAUACAAUACGAGGCUCGGGUAUGCUGGUUUCAUGAAGUGAGUGACUAGGCUCGGGUAUGCUGGUUUCAUGAAGUGAGUGACAGAAUCGAACCAGUCUGUAUCAAAAUGGAGCUGAUCGAUGGAAGACUUCAACCAGGUAGACUCGUUCUUUCACCCAGUAGCCUAUAAGUGGUAAUUACAGAAUUGACCUCAUCAGACAUAGACUUAACCAAGGGAGUGACAGACCAAAAGGAAGAAUAACGCCCCUACUGACUCAGACUAAACACCCCCAUCAUCAGGUAAAGACUUAAACUCGUAUGACAGGCCUAAAGAAGUGGGUUCGGGUGCUCAAACAAAAGAAGUGGGCUCGGGUGCUUGAAUAAAAGGAAGAAAAUCACCAAAACAAUCAAUGAGAAAUCACAAAUAAAUAAGAAAAGUGGAGAAA